rnacentral:lncRNA from 1 species
GGUAAACCUGUAGAUCAAAAAUUAUAUAGAUCAAUGAUAGGAUCACUGCUUUACUUAUGUGCAUCUAGACCAGAUAUAAUGUUGAGUGUUUGCAUGUGUGCACGUUUUCAAGCAAACCCUAAAGAUUGCCAUCUUGUAGCCGUUAAGAGAAUUCUAAGAUACUUAGUCCACACCCAAAACCUAGGAUUAUGGUAUCCCAAAGGCUCCCUUUUCGAUUUGCUUGGCUACUCUGACUCAGAUUAUGCCGGUUGCAAAGUAGAUCGAAAAAGCACUACUGGGACUUGCCAAUUCCUUGGGUGGUCCUUAGUGUCAUGGAGUUCCAAGAAACAAAAUUGUGUUGCACUUUCCACUGCAGAAGCUGAGUACAUAGCAGCUGGGGCAUGUUGUGCACAGUUGUUAUGGAUGAAGCAAACUGAAAGGGAAUUCGGCUUACACCUAGUUCCUAAAUAAUUUUGGUGGUUGAAUUGCCCAACACAAAUAAUUGGACUAACUAGUUUGCCCAAGUGUAUAGAUUAUACAGGUGUAAAAGGUUCACACUCAGCCAAUAAAAAGACCAAGUUUUGGAUUCAACAAAGGAGCAAAGGGGCAACCGAAGGCACCCCUGGUCUGGCGCACCGGACUGUCCGGUGUACCACCGGACAUGUCCGGUGCACCAGGGGGACUCAGACUCAAACUCGCCACCUUCGGGAAUUUCCAGAGGCACUCGCGCUAUAAUUCACCGGACUGUCCGGUGUACACCGGACAGUGUCCGGUGCGCCAUGGAGAAGCGGCCUCAGGAACUCGCCAGCUUCGGGAAACUCCAACGGCUAGUCCGCUAAAAUUCACCGGACUGUCCGGUGUGCACCGGACUGUCCGGUGCGACUCCAGUGCAACGGCUAUCUCCGCGCCAACGGCUCUCUGCCGCGCAUUUAAUGCGCGCUCUGCGCGCGCAGAAGUCAGGCGUGCCCAUACUGGCACACCGGACAGCAAACAGUACCUGUCCGGUGUGCACCGGACACCCAGGCGGGCCCACAAGUCAGAAGCUCCAACGGUCAGAAUCCAACGGCAGUGAUGACGUGGCAGGGGGCACCGGACUGUCCGGUGCGCCAUCGAGCAGACAGCCUCCCAACGGCCACUUUUGGUGGUUGGGGCUAUAAAUACCCCAACCACCCCACCAUUCAUUGCAUCCAAGUUUUCCACUUCUCAACCACUUACAAGAGCUAGGCAUUCAAUUCUAAGACACACCCAAAGUGAUCAAAUCCUCUCCAAUUCAACACAAAGCCCUAGUGACUAGUGAGAGUGAUUUGCCGUGUUCAUUUGAGCUCUUGCGCUUGGAUUGCUUUCUCUCUUUCAUUCUUUCUUGUGAUCAAUACUCACUUGUAACCAAGGCAAGAGACACCAAUUGUGUGGUGGUCCUUGCGGGGAGGUUUUUCUCCCAGUUGAUUUGAGAAGAGAAAGCUCACUCGGUCCGAGGGACCGUUUGAGAGAGGGAAGGGUUGAAAGAGACCCGGCCUUUGUGGCCUCCUCAACGGGGAGUAGGUUUGAGAGAACCGAACCUCGGUAAAACAAAUCCGCGUGUCUCACCUCUUUAUUCGCUUGCGAUUUGUUUUGCACCCUCUCUCGCGGACUCAAUUAUAUUUCUAACGCUAACCCGGCUUGUAGUUGUGAUUAUUUUUGAGAAUUUCAGUUUCGCCCUAUUCACCCCCCCCCUCUAGGCGACUUUCAAUUGGUAUCAGAGCCCGGUGCUUCAUUAGAGCCUAACCGCUCGAAGUGAUGUCGGGAGAUCACGCCAAGAAGGAGAUAGAGACCGGCGAAAAGCCCACUACAAGCCACGGGAGCACUUCAUCGGAAGAGUCCCGCACCAAGAGGAAGGAGAAGAAGAAGAUCUCCUCCAACAAAGGGAAGGAGAAGAAAUCUUCUUCUCACCACAAAGAGAAGAAGGAAAAAUCUUCUUCCCACAAGCCGCGUCGGAGUGGGGACAAGCACAAGAGGAUGAGGAAAGUGGUCUACUACGAGACCGACACUUCAUCAACAUUGACCUCCGACUCCGAUGCGCCCUCCGUCACUUCUAAGCGCCAAGAGCGCAAGAAGUAUAGUAAGAUCCCCCUACGCUACCCUCGCAUUUCCAAACAUACACCUUUACUUUCCGUCCCAUUAGGCAAACCACCAACUUUUGAUGGUGAAGAUUACGCUAGGUGGAGCGAUUUAAUGCGAUUUCAUCUAACCUCGCUCCACAAAGGUAUAUGGGAUGUUGUUGAGUUUGGUGCACAGGUACCGUCGGUAGGGGAUGAGAACUAUGAUGAGGAUGAGGUGGCCCAAAUCGAGCACUUCAACUCUCAAGCAACAACAAUACUCCUCGCCUCUCUAAGUAGAGAGGAGUAUAACAAAGUACAAGGGUUGAAGAGCGCCAAGGAGAUUUGGGAUGUGCUCAAAACCGCGCACGAGGGAGACGAGCUCACUAAGAUCACCAAGCGGGAAACGAUCGAGGGGGAGCUCGGUCGGUUCCGGCUUCGCAAAGGGGAGGAGCCACAACACAUGUACAACCGGCUCAAGACCUUGGUGAAUCAAGUGCGCAACCUCGGGAGCGUAAAGUGGGAUGACCACGAGAUGGUUAAGGUUAUUCUAAGAUCUCUUAUUUUCCUUAAUCCUACUCAAGUUCAAUUGAUCCGUGGUAAUCCUAGAUAUACUAAAAUGACCCCCGAGGAAGUUAUCGGGAAUUUUGUGAGUUUUGAGUGCAUGAUCGAAGGCUCGAGGAAGAUCAACGAGCUUGAUGAUGCCACCACAUCCAAAGCUCAACCCGUUGCAUUCAAGGCAACGGAGGAGAAGAAGGAGGAGUCUACACCAAGUCGACAACCAAUAGACGCCUCCAAGCUCGACAAUGAGGAAAUGGCGCUCGUCAUCAAGAGCUUCCGCCAAAUCCUCAAGCAAAGGAGGGGGAAGGAUUACAAGUCCCGCUCCAAGAAGGUUUGCUACAAGUGUGGUAAGCCCGGUUAUUUUAUUGCUAAAUGUCCCAUAUCUAGUGACAGUGACCGAGGUGACGACAAGAAGGGGAGGCGAAAGGAGAAGAAGAGGUACUACAAGAAGAAGGGCGGUGAUGCCCAUGUUUGUCGGGAGUGGGACUUCGACGAAAGCUCAAGUGACUCCUCCGACGACGAGGACGCCGCCAACAUCGUCGUUACCAAGGGACUCCUCUUCCCCAACAUCGGCCACAAGUGCCUCAUGGCAAAGGAUGGCAAAAAGAAGAAGGUUAAAUCCAACUCCUCCACUAAAUAUGAGUCUUCCAGUGAUGAUAAUGCUAGUGAUGAGGAAGAUAAUUUGCGCACUCUUUUUGCCAACCUUAACAUGGAACAAAAGGAGAAAAUAAAUGAACUAAUUAGUGCCAUCCAUGAGAAGGAUGAUCUCUUGGACUCCCAAGAGGACUUCCUAAUCAAGGAAAAUAAAAAACAUGUUAAGGUUAAAAAUGCUUACGCUCUACAAGUUGAAAAAUGUGAAAAAUUGUCUAGUGAGCUAAGCACUUGCCGUGAGAUGAUUGACAACCUUAGAAAUGAAAAUGCUAGUUUAAAUGCUAAGGUUGAUUCUCAUGUUUGUAAUGUUUCAAUUCCCAAUCCUAGAGAUAAUAAUGAUGAUUUGCUUGCUAAGAUUGAAGAAUUAAACAUUUCUCUUGCUAGCCUUAGAUUAGAGAAUGAAAAUUUGAUUGCUAAGGCUAAAGAUUUUGAUGUUUGCAAAGUUACAAUUGCCGAUCUUAGAGAUAAAAAUGAUAUACUUCGUGCUAAGAUUGUUGAACUUAAUUCUUGCAAACCAUCUACAUCUACCAUUGAGCAUGUCACUAUUUGUACUAGAUGUAGAAAUGUUGAUAUUGAUGCUAUUCAUGAUCAUAUGGCUUUAAUUAAACAACAAAAUGAUCAUAUAGCAAAAUUAGAUGCUAAAAUUGCCGAGCAUAACUUAGAGAAUGAAAAAUUUAAAUUUGCUAGAAGUAUGCUCUAUAAUGGGAGACGCCCGGGCAUCAAGGAUGGCAUUGGCUUCCAAAGGGGAGACAAUGUCAAACUUAAUGCCCCCCCUAAGAACUUGUCUAACUUUGUUAAGGGCAAGGCUCCCAUGCCUCAAGAUAACGAGGGUUACAUUUUAUACCCUGCCGGUUAUCCUGAGAGCAAGAUUAGGAAAAUUCAUUCUAGGAAGUCUCACUCUGACCCUAAUCAUGCUUUUAUGUAUAAGGGUGAGACAUCUAGCUCUAGGCAACCAACCCGUGCUAAGUUGCCUAGAAAGAAAACUCCAAAUGCAUCAAAUGAACAUAGCACUUCAUUUAAAACUUUUGAUGCAUCCUAUGUUUUGACUAAUAAAUCCGGCAAGGUCGUUGCCAAGUUUGUUGGGGGCAAACACAAGGGCUCUAAGACUUGUGUUUGGGUACCCAAAGUUCUUGUGUCUAAUGCCAAAGGACCCAAAACCGUUUGGGUACCUAAAGUCAAGAACUAAAAUUGUUUUGUAGGUUUAUGCAUCCGGGGGCUCAAGUUGGAUACUCGACAGCGGGUGCACAAACCACAUGACAGGGGAGAAGAAGAUGUUCUCCUCAUAUGAGAAAAACCAAGAUCCCCAAAGAGCGAUUACAUUCGGGGAUGGAAAUCAAGGUUUGGUCAAAGGUUUGGGUAAAAUUGCUAUUUCACCUGACCAUUCCAUUUCCAAUGUUUUUCUUGUUGAUUCAUUAGAUUACAAUUUGCUUUCCGUUUCUCAAUUAUGUCAAAUGGGCUACAACUAUCUAUUCACUGAUGUAGGUGUUACUGUCUUUAGAAGAAGUGAUGAUUCAAUAGCAUUUAAGGGAGUGUUAGAGGGUCAGCUAUACUUGGUAGAUUUUGAUAGAGCUGAACUCGACACUUGCUUGGUUGCUAAGACUAACUUGGGUUGGCUCUGGCACCGCCGACUAGCCCAUGUUGGAAUGAAGAAUCUUCAUAAGCUUCUAAAGGGGGAACACAUUUUAGGACUAACCAAUGUUCAUUUUGAGAAAGACAGGAUUUGUAGCGCCUGCCAAGCCGGGAAGCAAGUUGGUACCCAUCAUCCACACAAAAACAUCAUGACGACCGACAGGCCACUGGAGCUCCUACACAUGGACCUAUUCGGCCCGAUUGCUUACAUAAGCAUCGGCGGGAGUAAGUACUGUCUAUUUAUUGUGGAUGAUUAUUCUCGCUUCACUUGGGUGUUCUUUUUGCAGGAAAAAUCUCAUACCCAAGAAACCUUAAAGGGAUUCUUGAGACGGGCUCAAAAUGAGUUCGGCUUAAGAAUCAAGAAAAUUAUAAGCGACAAUGGGACGGAGUUCAAGAACUCUCAAAUUGAAGGCUUCCUUGAGGAGGAGGGAAUCAAGCAUGAGUUCUCUUCUCCCUACACCCCUCAACAAAAUGGUGUAGUGGAGAGGAAGAAUCGAACUCUUUUGGACAUGGCAAGGACCAUGCUUGAUGAGUACAAGACUUCGGAUCGGUUUUGGGCCGAGGCGGUCAACACCGCUUGCUACGCCAUCAACCGGUUAUAUCUUCACCGAAUCCUCAAGAAGACAUCCUAUGAACUCCUAACCGGUAAAAAGCCCAAUAUUUCUUAUUUUAGAGUCUUUGGUAGCAAAUGUUUUAUUCUGGUUAAAAGAGGUAGAAAAUCUAAAUUUGCUCCUAAGACUGUAGAAGGUUUUUUACUUGGUUAUGACUCAAACACAAGGGCAUAUAGAGUCUUUAACAAGUCCACUGGACUAGUUGAAGUCUCAUGUGACGUUGUGUUUGAUGAGACUAACGGCUCUCAAGUAGAGCAAGUUGAUCUUGAUGAGAUAGGUGAAGAACAGGCUCCAUGCAUAGCUCUAAGGAACAUGUCUAUUGGAGAUGUGUGUCCUAAGGAAUCCGAAGAGCCUCCACAUGCACAAGAUCAACCAUCAUCCUCCACUCAAGCAUCUCCACCAACUCAAAAUGAGGAUGAAGCUCAAGUUGAUGAAGUAGAAGAUCAAGCAAAUGAGCCACCUCAAGAUGACGGCAAUGAUCAAGGGGGAGAUGCAAAUGAUCAAGACAAGGAGGAUGAAGAGCAAAGGCCGCCACACCCAAGAGUCCACCAAGCAAUCCAACGAGAUCACCCUGUCGACACCAUUCUCGACGACAUUCAUAAGGGGGUAACCACUCGAUCUCGUGUUGCACAUUUUUGUGAACAUUACUCGUUUGUUUCCUCUAUUGAGCCACACAGGGUGGAGGAAGCACUACAAGAUUCGGAUUGGGUGGUGGCGAUGCAAGAGGAGCUCAACAAUUUCACAAGGAACGAGGUAUGGCACUUAGUUCCACGUCCUAACCAAAAUGUUGUAGGAACCAAAUGGGUCUUCCGCAACAAGCAAGAUGAGCAUGGUGUGGUGACAAGGAACAAAGCUCGACUUGUGGCCAAAGGAUACUCCCAAGUCGAAGGUUUGGAUUUCGGUGAAACCUAUGCACCCGUAGCUAGGCUUGAGUCAAUUCGCAUAUUAUUAGCCUAUGCUACUUACCAUGGCUUUAAGCUUUAUCAAAUGGACGUGAAAAGUGCUUUCCUCAAUGGACCAAUCAAGGAAGAGGUCUAUGUUGAGCAACCUCCCGGCUUUGAAGAUAGUAAGUACCCUAACCAUGUCUAUAAGCUCUCUAAGGCGCUUUAUGGGCUCAAGCAAGCCCCAAGAGCAUGGUAUGAAUGCCUUAGAGAUUUCCUUAUCGCUAAUGGCUUCAAAGUCGGCAAGGCGGAUCCUACUCUAUUCACUAAAACUCUUGACAAUGAUUUGUUUGUAUGCCAAAUUUAUGUUGAUGAUAUCAUAUUUGGGUCUACUAACGAAUCUACUUGUGAGGAAUUUAGUAGGAUCAUGACACAGAAAUUCGAGAUGUCGAUGAUGGGGGAGUUGAAGUAUUUCUUGGGAUUUCAAGUGAAGCAACUCCAAGAGGGCACCUUCCUUAGCCAAACGAAGUAUACUCAAGAUAUUCUAAGCAAGUUUGGGAUGAAGGAUGCCAAGCCCAUCAAGACACCCAUGGGAACCAAUGGGCAUCUCGACCUCGACACGGGAGGUAAGUCCGUGGAUCAAAAGGUAUACCGGUCGAUGAUUGGUUCAUUGCUUUAUUUAUGUGCGUCUCGACCGGACAUUAUGCUUUCCGUUUGCAUGUGUGCAAGAUUCCAAUCCGACCCUAAGGAAUCCCACCUUACGGCCGUAAAACGAAUCUUGAGAUAUUUGGCUUAUACUCCUAAAUUUGGGCUUUGGUACCCUCAGGGAUCCACUUUUGAUUUAAUUGGUUAUUCGGAUGCUGAUUGGGCGGGGUGUAAGAUUAAUAGGAAGAGCACAUCGGGGACUUGCCAGUUCUUGGGAAGAUCCUUGGUGUCUUGGGCUUCAAAGAAGCAAAAUUCGGUCGCUCUUUCCACCGCCGAAGCCGAGUACAUUGCCGCAGGUCAUUGUUGCGCGCAACUACUUUGGAUGAGGCAAACCCUGCGGGACUACGGUUACAAAUUAACCAAAGUCCCUUUGCUAUGUGAUAAUGAGAGUGCAAUCAAAAUGGCCGACAAUCCUGUCGAGCAUAGCCGCACUAAACACAUAGCCAUCCGGUAUCAUUUUCUUAGGGAUCACCAACAAAAGGGGGAUAUUGAGAUUUCUUACAUCAACACUAAAGAUCAAUUAGCCGAUAUAUUUACCAAGCCUCUUGAUGAACAAACUUUUACCAAACUUAGGCAUGAGCUCAAUAUUCUUGAUUCACGCAACUUCUUUUGCUAGAUUGCACACAUAGCUCAUUUAUAUACUUUUGAUCAUAUCUCUUUCAUAUAUGCUAUGACUAAUGUGUUUUCAAGUGUAUUUCAAACCAAGUCAUAGGUAUAUUGAAAGGGAAUUGGAGUCUUCGGCGAAGACAAGGCUUCCACUCCACUCUACUACUCAUCCUUCGCCAUCGCUCCAAGAAAAGGACCUUGUCUUUGGGGGAGAGAGUAAAAGCCCAAAGCAAAAGGACCGGACUUCGUCUUUGGUAUAAUCUUAACUCAUUUACUUAUGACCAAAGGGGAAGAUAGUACUUAAUGGGCUCUAAUGAUUCCGUUUUUGGCGAUUCAUGCCAAAGGGGGAGAAAGUAUGAGCCCAAAGCAAAAGGACCGCACCACCACCAAUUUCAAAAAACUUAGUGCUUUCCAAGAGUAUUUAUCAAUUGGUAUCCUAUUUGUUCAAAAGGAGAAGAAAAUUAGUUUUUCAAAAAUGUAUAUCAAAACCCUCUUGAACACUAAGAGGUGGAUCUCCUUUAGGGGGAGUUUUGUUAAGUCAAAGGAAAAGCAUUUGAAACAGGGGGAGAAAAUUUCAAAUCUUGAAAAUGCUUUGCAAAAUCUUACUCAUUUACCCUUGACUAUUUGCAAAAGAACUUUGAAAAAGAUUUACAAAAGAAUUUGCAAAACAUGUGGUGCAAGCGUGGUCCAAAAUGUUAUAUAAGAAAGAAACAAUCCAUGCAUAUCUAGUAAGUAUUUAUAUUGGCUCAAUUCCAAGCGACCUUUGCACUUACAUUGUACAAACUAGUUCAAUUAUGCAUCUCUAUACUUGCUUUGGUUUGUGUUGGCAUCAAUCACCAAAAAGGGGGAGAUUGAAAGGGAAUUAGGCUUACACCUAGUUCCUAAAUAAUUUUGGUGGUUGAAUUGCCCAACACAAAUAAUUGGACUAACUAGUUUGCCCAAGUGUAUAGAUUAUACAGGUGUAAAAGGUUCACACUCAGCCAAUAAAAAGACCAAGUUUUGGAUUCAACAAAGGAGCAAAGGGGCAACCGAAGGCACCCCUGGUCUGGCGCACCGGACUGUCCGGUGUACCACCGGACAUGUCCGGUGCACCAGGGGGACUCAGACUCAAACUCGCCACCUUCGGGAAUUUCCAGAGGCACUCGCGCUAUAAUUCACCGGACUGUCCGGUGUACACCGGACAGUGUCCGGUGCGCCAUGGAGAAGCGGCCUCAGGAACUCGCCAGCUUCGGGAAACUCCAACGGCUAGUCCGCUAAAAUUCACCGGACUGUCCGGUGUGCACCGGACUGUCCGGUGCGACUCCAGUGCAACGGCUAUCUCCGCGCCAACGGCUCUCUGCCGCGCAUUUAAUGCGCGCUCUGCGCGCGCAGAAGUCAGGCGCGCCCAUACUGGCACACCGGAUAGCAAACAGUACCUGUCCGGUGUGCACCGGACACCCAGGCGGGCCCACAAGUCAGAAGCUCCAACGGUCAGAAUCCAACGGCAGUGAUGACGUGGCAGGGGGCACCGGACUGUCCGGUGCGCCAUCGAGCAGACAGCCUCCCAACGGCCACUUUUGGUGGUUGGGGCUAUAAAUACCCCAACCACCCCACCAUUCAUUGCAUCCAAGUUUUCCACUUCUCAACCACUUACAAGAGCUAGGCAUUCAAUUCUAAGACACACCCAAAGUGAUCAAAUCCUCUCCAAUUCAACACAAAGCCCUAGUGACUAGUGAGAGUGAUUUGCCGUGUUCAUUUGAGCUCUUGCGCUUGGAUUGCUUUCUCUCUUUCAUUCUUUCUUGUGAUCAAUACUCACUUGUAACCAAGGCAAGAGACACCAAUUGUGUGGUGGUCCUUGCGGGGAGGUUUUUCUCCCGGUUGAUUUGAGAAGAGAAAGCUCACUCGGUCCGAGGGACCGUUUGAGAGAGGGAAGGGUUGAAAGAGACCCGGCCUUUGUGGCCUCCUCAACGGGGAGUAGGUUUGAGAGAACCGAACCUCGGUAAAACAAAUCCGCGUGUCUCACCUCUUUAUUCGCUUGCGAUUUGUUUUGCACCCUCUCUCGCGGACUCAAUUAUAUUUCUAACGCUAACCCGGCUUGUAGUUGUGAUUAUUUUUGAGAAUUUCAGUUUCGCCCUAUUCACCCCCCCUCUAGGCGACUUUCACAAACCCUUAGAGAUUUUGGUUGUGAGUUUAACAAAAUUCCACUUUUGUGUGACAAUGAAAGUGCCAUAAAACUUGGAAACAAUCCGGUGCAACACUCUAGAACUAACAUAUUGACAUCAGACACCAUUUCUUGAGAGACCACGAAGCCAAAGGAGAUAUCGAAUUGUUUCAUGUGAGCACCGAAAAUCAACUAGCCGAUAUCUUCACAAAACCCCUUGAUGAGACUAGGUUUUGUUUUCUUAGGAGUGAGCUAAAUAUCUUGGAUUCUCGAAACGUGUCUUAAUAACUAAAAUUUUGAUCAAAUUUGAUGGAUGUAAAUUGAUUGUUUGAGCAAUAUGAAAUGAGAAAUAACAUUUUUAUCAUUAAAAUCACUCAUGUCAUAUUUGCUAAGUGCUAUUAUAGCCCUUCUCGGCAAUAUCUGGAAACUGGUUGAGUAAACCGGCUGAGUAGACCACUCAACCGGUUCUCCCCUGGUGGAAACCGGUUGAACCAGUAUAAAAACCGGUUGAAUCGGUUUUGACCUCCUCCGCCUGGACCGGUAUAAAAACCGGUUGAACCGGUUUUGACCUCCUCCGCAUCUGCGCCGUCAGACUGUGCCGCAGUCUGCGCUGUCAGUUUUGCAGUCUGCGCUGUCAGACUGCCAGAAAUUUCGCGCAAUCAAUACCUUUUUGUGCGCGCUUUUACUGCGCAGUUUGACCAGAAACCGGUUGAACCGGUUUUAGAACCGGUUGAACCGGUUUUCUGUGUUCUGACCGGCCGACUCCCCCCUUAUUUCUCUCCAUCUCUCCUCUUCUCUUCUUCUCAGUUUCACUUUCCAGCCGCCGCCACCCACUCUUCUUUCUCUCUCUCCUUCACACCUUCUCCACUCCAAAAACUCACUUGUGCCCUCUCAUCUUUGGAAGAUUUGUUGGAGAUCCGUUCAUCCCGACGUUCUCCAUCAUCUCCCUCAAUCUUGUUGGGAUUUCUUGACUAAAUCUCCGGAUCGAGGUAUUGCCCUAUUUCAUUUCUUUUUACUUAAUCCUACGCGUUCUUGAUUAUCUAAUGUAUCAUUUGUUGGGUACAUUUUAGUUUAAGUGCUUGCAACACUUAGAUUAUCUUCAUUUGUCACGAACAUUGUUAGAGUUUAGCGAUUUGAUAUUGUUCGUUGUAGUUGAACCGCUCAUAUGAACGGUUGAAGUGCAUGCUCAAUAUCUUAUGCGUCUCUACUCAAACGUGUUUGAUCCUUGCUCAUCAUAGGUUCAAUUUUUUUUUCUUAGAAUGGUGUGUCGGAGGAACCCGUCCAUGGUUGAAUCCGACUCCUCUGAUGACCAAGAAAUACAUGGAGAUACUCCCCCACGCUCUAGAUCCAAGCGUGGGCGAGGAAGCGGAAACGUCAUGCAAGGUGCUGAGGCCUCCGGGUCUCAAGGAGCUCGCAGUCGGACAACCCGGAAUCCUUCCUGUCGGUCCCGACCAGCGACAAAUCCGCAGGCAUGGGAGGCUACGAGUGAUGAUGAAGGCGGGAAGGAUGAUGAAAUUGAUCUUCCCCUGGCCCACGCCCCUGUGAUUCGUGGGUUGGUCCUCCACUGGGCGGAGGCUCGGCGUGCUGGCAAUGAGCCAGUAACUGAUUUCACUGCCAGUGGAGGUUCUGCUCUCCUUCAGGAUCUCCGUUUCCAGAAUCCUGCAUUGCGCAUUCGCGAUGCCAGGAUUGAUGGAAACCGCUUUUGGACGCUUCAUCAUGUGGAUUUUUAUAAUUCCGUGAUCCUCCCCAAGAAGCAUCAACCUAUUCUGCUUCAACGCUAUAUCAACUGGGAAGGUUGUGAGGCCAUUGGGGACCCAGAGAUGACACAGGCAUUGAGGGCCUGUGAAAGGAAAAAGAUGAAGAGUAUCAUGACAUUCCAAUAUGAUUGGAAUGAUGAAGUUAUUGCCCAAUUCUACUCAACUUUGUGGAUCAAGCCAGCUGACGAGGAGAGUCCAUACAACUAUCCUUAUCUGAACUUCUACAUUGAAGGCAGUUGGUAUAAGGUGAGCUACCGUCGGUUUGCUCACAUUCUUGGUUUUACUAACAAUGAUAUCUCUGGCGACAAGAUCAAGAUACAUGAUUUCCACCAGUCUACUAGAGAUGAAGCCAAAGAUCUUCAUCUCUCUGAGUCUGGGAAGUAUUGGGAGUCUACAAACAUGCAUAAGUAUUAUCGAUACAUCAACUCCCUCUGCAGGAUGACCCUCAUUCCAAAAGGGGGAAAUCAGAUGAACAUUCUUGGAGAGAGCAAGGUCUUGCUCUCAUUCAUGAAACCCAGCAGCUCAGAGAGUAUAAAUGUCUUUGAUAUGAUUUGGCAGGAAAUCAUUCAUGCUGCAUGCUUUCCAUUGAAGGGAUGUCUUCAUGCUCCUUUUAUCAUGAAGAUGAUUGAGGUUGUGACCCAGUUUAAAUUUGAUAAAGGUACAAGACAUCAAUCAUAUACCCCUUUCUGGAUUGAUCCCAACAAUCCAGCAGGGCGCCUAAGGAAAGCCCCUUCCAGCUCUCGUGCUCAUACAUCUGCGGGUCCGUCUGCUGGUCCUGCUGCUGCUGCCGGUGCCUCGCGUCCCUCCCCUGGCCGCGGAUCUCCCAUGCCACGUGGUCGUGGUCGUGGUCGAGGUCGUGGCCGAGGGAUGGGUGCCCGCUUGGCCCAUGGGUUUGCGGCAUUUUUCUCCAUGUGCCGGAACAUUACUGCGGAUGUCCAUGAGGUGGCAAGACGUCAGCGGGAGACUGACGACAACCUUCGUCGUCAAGCUUCCUCUUUGGGUACUCCCUUCGUCCCCCGCUCGCCUGACGUGCCUCUCCAUCCUCCUCCUCCAGAGAUCAACGAGUGGUACCAGCAGGUAUACAGGGUGCCUUUUAUGACAGCAGACGACGUCGAAGAAGAAGAAGAAGCUUAUUUUGAUGAUCGUGAGCAGUUUGUCCCACCUCCGUAUCACGGGGAUCCGGGCCAAUCAUCCUCUCACCCUCCGCCCCAGGAUCCGUCUGGCAAUGCUCCUCCCCCGGAUCAGUCUGGGGAAGAACACUUUGCCUCUCACCUAGCGCACCACCUCUUUGCUCCUCAUCAGCCUCCUCCCAACUGGUGACCUUUGGAUUGGCGUCUCUCUCCCUCUUUUUGGUUCUUGUUGCCAAAAAGGGGGAGAAGGUUUAUUAGACUGGCAGUACCUUUUAUUUUUGUAAUGAACAAUCGGUUUGUAAUAACUAUUUGGUCUAUCGUAUGAUGCAUGCAUGGCUCUAAAGCCAUAAACAUUUUUAUGAUGUGAUGAGAUGAGUUAUCAUUAUUGUAAUAGCAGUAGAAUUUUUUAUAUCAUAUGCUAUGCAAUAAUGAGCUUGAAUGUGCAAUUUUUACUCUUUCUAUCUAAUUAUGUUUCAUACCUCAUUGUUUUUGUGUAUGGCGUUGAUUGUUCUCUCUCUAAAUAUGUUGCAAAUUGAUAUAUCAAGUCAAUGUUAAUAUCGCAAAACUCAUGCACAUAUUUAGGGGAGCUACACAUACACAAAGGAUUUUAUCUCGCAAGUACUUGUAACUUUUAAUUCUUAUUCUACUCCAGUUUGUUUUGGCAUCAAUCACCAAAAAGGGGGAGAUUGUAAGUGCAAUCAACCCUAAUUAAAGGUUUUGGUGAUUAAUGACAAAACAAACUGAGAUUCUAACAAGUUUGCUCCUAGCAUGUACAUAGUAAUUCUACAGACAGGAGAAGCACAGAUCCUACGAGCAUAAAAGUAGAAAGCACAGCGGAUUUAAAGUUCCACAUCAAAUGGCGUGCUCCAAGUGCUUAGAAACAACGGCGGUGCUAAUUUUUAUAAUUCUUGUGUCAUAGGAAUCGCCGUGCAAUUAAGAGGGAUCCGCGACGGUUAAGUAAGUUGUGCAAUGAGACAAGUUCAAAAUCCUUUGAAAACAUCUUGGAGAACAUUUUUCCAGAUCAUGAAUGCCCUUGAGAAAAACAAAUUUUACUUGCCACAAAGACUCCACUUUUGUUCUCUUCAAAAUACUCAAAAUUUGGUUUCAGCCCUGAAAACCGGUUCAGCCAGUCCUAAAACCGGUUCAACCGGUUUUGGGACUGUUCCCCUGCCAUCUCUGCUCUGACCUGUCUGACAGUCAGAGCUGUCAGAAAAGUCGCUGCAGAUAUUUUUUGAAAACCGGUUCAGCCGAAAUUUUUCCUUACUCAGCCGGUUUUGAAACCGGUCGAGUCUCCGGCUGAGUAGCUCAGUGGACCGGGAUCCCCCUGGUAGAAACCGGUUCAACCGGUCUGAAAACCGGUUCAACCGGUUUUUACUUCUUUUCUCCCAAUGGCUGCCAGCUUUUGGGGGCUCCUUUAUAUACCCCCUCACACUCUCUCUCUCGUUUACUCCUGCCUCUCCCACGAAUUCUUGGCUGACCAACCUUCAAACAAGCGCAUUCAUUUCACCUUUCACACCCGCAAUCGCAUCUCCUUCAAUCAUUUGAAGGACCCUUGGUGUGAGGUGAACUCGAUCGAACACGCUGUCAAUUUCAUCUCGAUUCUCCCAUUCUCUUUGUUCUUGAGCUCGUUGCAAACUUAACCUUGUGCGGAUUUGUUACUCUUGGAACCUCGUGUUCCUUGACGGUUAGAGGUUGCUUGGGAGUCUCCAAAUUUGUGGACGACCCCAAGAAGUUUGUAUCACCCGCUCUUUGAGCUGAUUUGAGAAGAGAUUGCCUUGACCUUUGUGGUCGGCUUGUGGAGGAUUAGGGUUGGAAAAGACCCGGCUCUUUGUGGGUUCCUCAACGAGGAGUAGGACACCUUUGUGGUGGUUGCCGAACCUCGGGUUAUAUCGCGUGUUCUUGUGUGUUCUUGUUAAGCGCUUUAUAUUCGGUGGUUGGUUCAUAUUAUUCAUUCGAGUAGAUUUUGUGUAGGGCAAGUCUUUAGCUAUAUUUUUCACUACUUCGUAUUUGUUCAAUAGAUUAUCUAAUUUAAGUUGAGCAGGUUCAAACUUGUUCAGUUGUAAUUAAAAUCGACUGAACCGGUUUGCACCAGUGCAACUUUAAUUUAACCUAUCUCGAAGUUUUUAGUGAAAAUUUUCAGGUGUAGCCUAUUCACCCCCCUCUAGGCUACUUUCACUAAACCAAACUCCCAAAGAAAUAUCCCUAAAUAGAAAAUUGACAAUCAACAGCACAAAUGCUCAUUCUGUCUCUACCUCUUUCACUAUAAAAGCAAUGAUAACAAAGAAAUAUUGUAAAAUCAUCUAAACUUCAUGACCUACAACUUUUGUAUUCAAAGGAUAAACAAAGUUUUAUUUUAUCUCCAUUUUUUAAUUUGACUUGUAAGGCGACAUACAUGAUCUGCCACCAGAACCUGACGGAACAUGACCCAUAAUUUCAAAACCUCAUAACUCUCUGCAUCUAACAAAAUUUUACAAAUAUAAACUCAUUGAAAAGAUUAUAACAUUCCCUAAAACUUUUAUUAUAAUGAGUGUCUCAGAAUUGGUUUCCAAACCAAUAAAACAAUGCAACUGCUUUGUUGCAAAACUGAUAGGUUAGAAACAAUGGACAACUAAAAUACGAAAUACUAUAACUUCUGCUAUACUCAACUUAAAACUACAACGAACACGCAUUGGAAAAGUUUGGAAAUUGUCCACGACUUUUGCAAUAAAGUUGCACCCAAAUUUAUCUUUAUAGCCCUCAACUCUACAUGACCUACAGCUAAACUCAGCCUGAGAUACUGCACAUCAGAGAUUCGACUUAUAUCCGGACAACCACCUCUCCCAAUCUAUUUAACAAACAAUUACAAAUAAAUACCAUUCUUAAAGAGAAUUCCCAAAUUUGGGCUCUGAAACUAUCAAAACGCGGUCGAUUUAUUAGUGGUUUUAACGACACCUAAAGCUCAGACACAAUGGUGCAACAACUUCAGAGUAGCCUAACUCCAAUUAUAUGCAAUGAAAAUUACAAACCAAUACUCUUUGGCAAGAUCAUGAAAUUACUAAAACUUUCAUAAUCCAACAAAACCCAAAAUUUACCGUAUUCAAUGUCUAUACUUCCGUACAAAAUUAAGGCGGCUAUAGGAAACCCAUAACUCUCAAACGUUUAGACCAAACUGGGUGAUUGAGCAUCCUAUACAAAGAUGAAGAAACCUACUACAAAACAUUCUAGAUAAGUGAAGCCUGAUUCAGCCUCCAACUAAUUUAAAAUGACUCCCAAAACAAAACAACACCUUACCCAUGAUAAAAAAAACAAUAUAAAAUAGAACCCAAGGCAUUGGCAGGUGCGACCCACACUAGGAUUUUCCACUACCAAAUGGGGAUGCAACUCCCCAAAGCCUUUAAGCAACACUUUACCUAAUAGGUUAGAACACUAAGCACAACAAUCAACGAAUUCAACAACCUCGUUUGUUAAUGCCACUAAGGUCAAACAUCCAUGUAUCGACAAUGUAUGAAACACCUGACAUACCCGUCUCUAGCACUAUAAAACAUGGUUGUUAUUACACUAGAAUCCAACUAUUAGAGCUCUCCACAACUAUUAUGUUGACGUGAAGCAAAUGGUGCUCAUGUCAUGUAACGUCUUUUCCUCCUCUCAAAAGAGAUAAAAUUUGCAAUACUCAUAAAGCAAUGGAGGGACAACAACAAGAAAAACUAAUGUACUUCUUGACACAGACUCAUGCAAAAGCUUCAUAAAUAUUACUUUCAAUACUAAAAUAAUAACACGAUACUAUGCUCAACAGGAGUAAUUGGACGUCACUAAGACAAUCCACAUAACCAAGCUACCUUGAUUAACCUCACAUACAACAAAACCUACUAUUACUGCACUUGAACAAUUUGUACCUCGUGAUAUCAUAGGAUGCAUUCAAAGUAGUAGACAUACAUGAUCUAUCAAACCAUCAUUCAUAUAAGAAAAAUCUCAAUCCGAUGAAACAACCCCAUCAUUAAAGAGAUAGAUGACUAACAAACAUAAGCAACUCCCAGUUAAGCAUUGACUUCGUUUAAGAUAAAGCGGUCCAAAUAAUGAUUCAACAAGCAUGCAUAGAGAAACUGUUCAUAGAAAAAAUCAAACUACCAUACAAUGUUGGCAAAUAAAAAAAAUAUAAAACGGGUUGUCAAUAUCGCCCACAUGACUAGCCUGCAACAACUAAAAAAUUAUGCAUAGCCUUUAUGGCUAUUGAAACAAGCCAUAGAAGGAAAACAUGCACGACAUAAAAUCCACUUGAAACCACCCUAUUUAUUGUUAAAAAUAAGGUUGCACAUAAUAAGAAAACCUAUCAAGUAGACAUGGUUGGACUUAUCAAUCUACGUCAUCUCACAAAUUCACUCGAGUUCUACCAGUCUAAAGAUUUCAUAGACAUUACAACGUUGCCUCUGCUCUAUAGAGACAAACCAAUUUUAUACUAAGAUCAAGUUAGCAAGUAGCCACACUAGCCUAAAAAAAGUGAGGCGCAAAACAUUGCACCCAUGGAAAUAUUACAUUGAUAAGUUGGGUUGUUACCCAACAACCAAUCAAACUCAACAACACCAUAAAACUACAUUAUAUAGUGUUUUCACACUACACCAAGACGGAUUAGACCCAAUAUACACAAGCUCAAUAAACAAUCGGUCCUAUAAGUACAAGAACCCAAGAAUCCUUUUGGGAAAAAACAUCCAUAGUCCAGCAUAUAGAAAUAUAUGAUGGUAAUAGCUCAGAGAUUUGAAAACAUUGCAUCCCAAAAAAAACAUCAUGACGAUAUGUAUAUAAAACAAGUACAUUAGUAGCUUCACUUGCAUAAUAUCUUCAAUAACAACCACAUCAAGAAACCAAUAUUAAAUAGAAGUUAUCAUAUCAAGCAUUACGUCGUUAACGACAUACCCCAUCAAACCAUAAAGGGAUUUGGAGUAAGGAAGUUCUAGUCAUCUAUACAAUAAAAUACUAAUAUGAAAGAUAUACGAACCCAUACCCUUCCUAUAUGUGCAAGUGAGUCAUAUUUAUCUUCAAAUUGCGUAGAAUCUAAAGCCUAUGCUUUGAUACCAACUGUAACACCCCGGGGUCCACAAACACCCCAGAAUGCUACUAAACAACACUUCUGACAUCCAUAUAUAAAAUUUCGGCAGCAUCCCCUUUACAAAAUUGCAUAAAUGAGGGGGCAACAGUGUAUAAACAUAUAUCAUGACAAAAAUAUACUAAGUAUUAUUAAUCGGCUAGCAAAGAGAAGUUAAACAUACGACAUGAUCUGAAUUAACUAGUGUGCACGACUAGUUAAAAAACAAACUUCCUUUGACAAUAAGUUUCUAAUUAAAUCAUGGCUGCGCCUGGGCAGCGUUAUUGUGAGAGUGAAAGUGGACGUGCUGCUACUCCCCUCAUUCCCAGCAUGUAUAAAUUACCUGCAUUGAGUAAUGCAAGAGUGAGAUGACACAUCUCAGCAAGUAAAAUAAUAUCAAACUGUUUAACCACAUAAGAAUAUUGUUUUACCACCACUUGAUUCCACAACCUUCUUAUUACGAAGGUGUAACACGUAUACAAUGUAUAAUACACCUAGUCACCACACCUCGCAGGUAGAAACCACAAUAGUAACAUAGUAAUGUCACACUUCAUAUAUACCUCAUGAGUGCAAAUGUCUGCAAAUGCAAGGAUGACUUCUGCCUUCAUACCUCUAAGGAUAUGAAGCCGCAUCGUACCCCUCCUCGGGCAACGUACGAUGCUAAAAAUAUACCGGUACGGUCGGGCCAUAAGAUUGUGACAUAACUUCAAAAUGCAAGAUGGAUGAUGCGAUGUGCAUGUCAUGCCUACAACACUUCAUAUAACGUGAUUCAAAAAAAUACUUCAACUUCAUCCAAGAUGGGAAUCAACCACAUAUAUCAUUACCAAAUUAUGAUCAUCCACAAUAUUAGACAAUUGAGAAUUAAUACUUCCAAACAAAUAAACUUCAUCAUAGAAUUCAAUUAUUAACAUAAUUAAAACUUAUGCAUACUCAAUGACAGGGAUUAGGACGCAACCCAAACGGUAGCAACCACCACUGUAUUUACUUGCCUUUACCGGAAGUUCGGGCAAAUCCCUAAGUACGAUCCGGAAGUCUACCACCUGUUUUUGACACACAACUUAGUGCACCAAUUUCACAUAAUCGGGCUCAUAAACGACGCCGCACCUACGCACAAACUCAAACCCCGCCGCGGGUUACAUCUCUCCCCACACUCACCAAACUGCAGCAGCGCUGCUUAAUAAUUUCAUAACUUUAAAAUUAUGGCAGCAGUGGUAACAAACAAAAACUCCAGAGACAUCUACAUAAAAUUCCCCACAAGUUUUGUAUACAAUUUAUAAUUAAAUUCUAACAUCUAAUUAGCCCAAAACAGUCCACAAGAUGAACCCUGUAAUCUAUUUUUUUUGUCUUUUGGACAGCGACAUACCCGGAUUCGAACAGCGAUAUCUUUUAAAAUAUAAUUCCAAAUCAAGCGCAUAAGUACUCAUUGAAAAUAUAAGACAAACCCCUACAUGAUUAUCAUACUGGUUAACACUAAUUACCCACGAAAAAUUCCCAGAAACUGCUAAUACUACUGCUGUUCACCCACCUGAAAAUCUGUUUUUUGGACAGCAACAUAACCGGAUUCAAACAACGAUAUCUCCUAAAUUAUAACUCCGAAUCGAGCGCAUAAGUACUCGUUGGAAAGGUAUGACAAAGCUCUACAUUAUUCUCCCACUGAUUCCCCACUAAUUGCCCAUGAAAAAUUCCCAGAAAUCUCUAGAACUACUGCUGUUCGUCCACCCACUAAAUUUCUGGACAGCACCUCUACCAAAUCGCAUAGGUAAACAUGUAACCAAUUGGAUUGCAGCACAAAUACAACAAAAUGAUCACGAAAAUCACCUUGGAUUCCUCCUUUCCUCCUUCUUUUCUUCCUUCUUCCUCCCUCCAAACUCCCAUGGAAGACUCGCACCCACACGACGGACACCAAGUGGGGAGGCUCCACCUUGGAGAGGAAGAGGUGGGGGGCGGCUAGGGUUGAGGGGUGGCGCUGCUAUCACUUGGGGAAGAAGGAGAGGGAUUGGGGCGGCUGCAAGAGUGGAAGAGACAGGGGGUGGCCAAAGGGGUGGGGGAGUGAGAGGGAGGGGCGGCUAGGGUUAAGGGGGGGGACUAAUGGGCUCCCCACCGCGGGUCGAGAUCCGCGGCCCAAACUCGCUCUCACGUCUGCUCCCGACCGCAGCGCACAAAUCCAACAAGUAAUCUACUGUUUUACUGGUGAAUGCUUCCUAAAAACUCCAACCCCAACUACACAGAUCACGAAAGAAAAGGGAAAAAUAAAUUUAACUUCUUUUCAAAAAAUUAGGUAUCACAAAUGGUCAGGUGAUAUAGCAAUUUUACCCAAUCCUUUGACCAAACCUUGAUUUCCAUCCCCGAAUGUGAUCACUCGUUGGGGAUCUUGGUUUUUCUCAUAGGAGGAGAACAUCUUCUUCUCCCCUGUCAUGUGGUUUGUGCACCCGUUGUCGAUGAUCCAACUUGAGCCCCCGGAUGCAUAAACCUACAAAACAAGUUUAGUUCUUGAUUUUAGGUACCCAAACGGUUUUGGGUCCUUUGGCAUUAGAUACAAGAACUUUGGGUACCCAAACACAAGUCUUGGAGCUCUUGUGUUUGCCCCCAACAUACUUGGCAACUACCUUGCCUGAUUUGUUGGUUAGCACAUAGGAUGCAUCAAAAGUUUUAAAUGAAAUGUUAUGAUCAUUUGAUGCAAUAGGAGUUUUCUUUUUAGGCAAUUUAUCAUGGGUUGAUUGCCUAGAACUAGAUGUCUCACCCUUAUAUAUGAAAGCAUGAUUAGGGCCAGAGUGAGACUUUCUAGAAUGAAUUCUCCUAAUUUUGCUCUCGGGAUAACCGGUAGGGUACAAAAUGUAACCCUCGUUAUCCUGAGGCAUGGGAGCCUUACCCUUAACAAAGUUAGACAAUCUUUUAGGAGGGGCAUUAAGUUUGACAUUGUCCCCCUUUUGGAAGCCAAUGUCAUCCUUGAUGCCAGGGCGUCUCCCAUUAUAGAGCAUGCUUCUAGCAAAUUUAAAUUUUUCAUUUUCUAACUCAUGCUCAUUGAUUUUAGCAUUAAGUUGAGUUGUGUGAUCAUUUUGUUUCUUAACUAAAGCUAGGUGGUCAUGGAUAGCAUCAACAUUAAUAUAUCUACAUCUAGUGCAAAUGGAAACAUGCUCAACGACAGAUGUAGAGGGUUUGCAGGCAUUAAGUUCAACGAUCUUAGCACGCAAGAUAUCAUUGUUAUCUCUAAGAUCGGAAAUUGUAACAUUGCAAACAUCUAAUUCUUUAGCCUUAGCGAUUAAUUUUUCAUUAUCAUUUCUAAGGCUAGCAAGGGAUAUGUUUAAUUCUUCAAUCUUAGCAAGUAAAUUAACAUUAUCAUCUUUAAGAUUGGGAAUUGAAACAUCACAAGCAUUUGAAUCCACCUUAGCAAUUAAACUAGCAUUCUCAUUUCUAAGGUUGGUGAUAAUAUCAUGGCAUGUGCUUAGCUCACUAGAUAGUUUUUCACAUUUUUCUACUUCUAGAGCGUAAGCAUUUUUAACCUUCACAUGCUUCUUAUUUUCCUUAAUUAGGAAGUCCUCUUGGGUGUCCAAGAGAUAAUCCUUCUCAUGAAUAGCACUAAUUAAUUCAUUCAAUUUUUCUUUUUGUUGCAUGUUUAGGUUGGCAAAAAGGGUACGCAAAUUAUCUUCCUCAUCACUACAAUUUUCCUCAUCACUAGAGGUUGCAUAUUUAGUGGAGGACUUUGAUUUUACCUUCUUCCUUUUGCCGUCCUUUGCCAUGAGGCACUUGUGGCUGACGUUGGGGAAGAGGAGACCCAUGGUGAUGGCGAUGUUGGUGGCGUCCUCGUCGGAGGAAGAGUCGGAGGAGCUCUCAUCGGAGUCCCACUCGCGACAUACAUGUGUGUUGGGGCGAAGGCGAAGACGCCACCCUUCGCUCGAGGCCUUCGCCGCGGUCGUUGGUCCAACGGAGACAAGACAACGGACAGGGACACCCUUCGCUCCAUACGACAUCGGACGAAGACCUGUGACGAGGUCAUCCCACCGUGCGGCCUCGUCCAGCAUGGAGGCCCACGUGUGAUCCGGCCCAUUGUAACAGGCCCUGCGUGGCCGCUGCGUGUUACGGGCCUAAUUUGUAAAGGCGCCUCUGUAAUUACAGUAUGUAACCCCGCUUUAUGGUAAUAUUCUGGGGAUAACCUAGGUGUCUGAGGGCACAAGCGUCCUUAACACAAGACGCUGGGCACUCAGAUACCUAUAAAUACCCCCGCACUGUGCCCUUGAGAGCCUAGAUUAACACAGCUAUUGCCAUCUUGCGCGAGAACCCUGUUAACGUCACUGUUCACCCCCGUUGGAUCCCCUUGCAACAGAGAGCAAGUUCCAACAAUGUGCAUCGCCGCCUCUCUUCUUGUAGUAUCUUUUCUUUUCUUUCCUCUUUCCCUUCUUGUCGUCGCCCCUGUCACUGUCACUAGAUAAUGGACAUUUUGCAAUAAAAUGACCGGGCUUACCACAAUUGUAGCAAACUUUCUUGGAGCGGGAUUUGUAGUCCUUCCCCCUCCUUUGCUUGAGGAUUUGGCGGAAGCUCUUGAUGAUGAGCGCCAUCUCCUCAUUGUCGAGCUUUGAGGCGUCGAUUGGUUGUCUACUUGAUGUAGACUCCUCCUUCUUCUCCUCUGUUGCCUUGAAUGCAAGUGGUUGUGCUUCGGGCGUGGAGGGGCCAUCUAGCUCGUUGAUUUUCUUUGAGCCUUUGAUCAUUAAUUCAAAGCUCACAAAGUUUCCUAUCACUUCCUCGGGAGACAUUAGUGUAUAUCUAGGAUUACCUCGAAUUAAUUGAACUUGUGUAGGAUUAAGAAAGACGAGGGAUCUUAGAAUAACCUUGACCAUCUCAUGGUCAUCCCAUUUUGUGCUCCUAAGGUUGCGCACUUGGUUCACCAAGGUCUUCAAGCGGUUGUACAUGUCUUGUGGCUCCUCCCCUUGGCGAAGCCGGAAGCGACCGAGCUCCCCCUCGAUUGUAUCCCGCUUGGUGAUUUUGGUCACCUCAUCUCCUUCGUGUGCGGUCUUGAGUACGUCCCAAAUCUCUUUGGCACUUUUCAAUCCUUGCACCUUGUUAUACUCCUCUCGACUUAGAGACGCGAGGAGUAUAGUGGUGGCUUGAGAGUUGAAGUGCCGGAUUUGGGCGACCUCGUCCGAAUCAUAGUCUUCAUCCCCUGGUGAUGGUACCUGUACUCCAAUCUCAACAACAUCCCAAAUGCUAGUGUGGAGUGAGGUUAGAUGAUGCCUCAUUUUAUCACUCCACAUAUUAUAAUCUUCACCAUCAAACAUAGGUGGUUUGCCUAAUGGGACGGAAAGUAAUGGAGUACGCUUAGAAAUGCGAGGAUAGCGUAGGGGGAUCUUACUAAACUUCUUGCGCUCAUGGCGCUUAGAAGUUACGGACGGCGCGUCGGAGCCAGAGGUGGAUGGCGACGAGGAGUCAGUCUCGUAGUAGACCACCUUCCUCAUCUUCUUCUUCUUGUCACCACUCUGACGCGACUUGUAUGAAGGGGAUUCCUUUCCCUUCCCCUUGUUGCGGGAUUCUCCCGAUGGAGCUUUCCCGUGGCUUGUAGCGGGCUUCUCGCCGGUCACCAUCUCCUUCUUGGCGUGAUCUCCCGACAUCACUUCGAGCGGUUAGGCUCUAAUGAAGUACCGGCUCUGAUACCAAUUGAAAGUCGCCUAGAGGGGGGUGAAUAGGGCGAAUCUGAAAUUUACAAACUUAAUCACAACUACAAGUCGGGUUAGCGUUAGAAAUAGAAACGAGUCCGAGAGAAAGGGCGCAAAACAAAUCGUGAGCGAAUAAAGAGCGAGACACGAUGAUUUGUUUUACCGAGGUUCGGUUCUUGCAAACCUACUCCCCGUUGAGGUGGUCACGAAGACCGGGUCUCUUUCAACCCUUUCCCUCUCUCAAACGGUCACUUAGACCGAGUGAGCUUCUUCUUCUCAAUUAAACGGGACACAAAGUCCCCGCAAGGACCACCACACAAUUGGUGUCUCUUGCCUUGGUUACAAUUGAGUUUGAUCACAAGAAUGGAGAAAGAAAGAAGCAAUCCAAGCGCAAGAGCUCAAAUGAACACAACAAAUCACUCUCUCUAAUCACUAAAGCUUUGUGUGAAGUUGGGAGAGGAUUUGAUCUCUUUGGUGUGUCUUGCACUGAAUGCUAUAGCUCUUGUAAGGUGUAGAAGUGUAGAAACUUGGAUGCCAUUGAAUGUGGGGUGGUUGGGGUAUUUAUAGCCCCAACCACCAAAAGAUGGCCGUUGGAAGACUGCUGUCGCAUGGCGCACCGGACAGUCCGGUGCGCCACCGGACACUGUCCGGUGCGCCAGCCACGUCAGCAAACCGUUGGGGUUUGACCGUUGAAGCUCUGACUUGUGGGGCCUCUGGGCUGUCCGGUGGUGCACCGGAUAGGUCCUGUAAAGUGUCUAGUGCGCACCCGCGCGUGCUCUGACUUCUGCGCGCACUGUAGCGCAUUGAAUGCGGUUGCAGUCGACCGUUGGCGCGAAGUAGUCGUUGCUCCUGAGAGCACCUAGAGGGGGGGUGAAUAGGUGAUCCUGUAACACUUCAAAACUUAAGCCACAAAACUUGGUUAAUUGUUAGCACGAAAAAUUGCCAAGUGGCUAGAGAGGAAUCCUCAACAAAACACAAUAACCAACAAAGAUCAAUCACAGAGAUGGCACGGUGGUUAUCCCGUGGUUCGGCCAAGACCAACGCUUGCCUACUCCACAUUGUGGCGUCCCAACGGACGAGGGUUGCAAUCAACCCCUCUCAAGUGGUCCAAAGACCCACUUGAAUACCACGAUGUUUUGUUUGCUUUACUCAAUCCCGUUUGCGAGGAAUCUCCACAAAUUGGAGCCUCUCGCCCUUACACUUAAAGUUCACAAAGAAGCACGGAGCAAGGGAGGGAUUAGCAACGCACUCAAGACAAGAAAUCACAGCAACACCACGCACACAAGUCACAAUGAGAGCUCACAACACAACUCAAUGAGUUCACCACUCAACUAGAGCUCUAAUCGUUAUCGCAAAGAAUCAAAGGCGCGGAGUUGAUGUCUUGGUGCUUAGGAAUGCUUAGGAGAUGCUUGGUGUUCUCCUCCAUGCGCCUAGGGGUCCCUUUUAUAGCCCCAAGGCAGCUAGGAGCCGUUGAGAGCAAUCUAGGAAGGCUGAUGUUGCCUUCUGUCGACUGGCGCACCGGACAGUCCGGUGCACACCGGACAGUGUCCGGUGCCCGAUUUCCUUCCAUAAAUGGCGCAGUCGACCGUUGGCAGCCAAAGAGUCGUUGGCGCACCGGACAUGUCCGGUGCACACCGGACAGUCCGGUGUCCCCUUCUAGCCGUUGGCUCGGCCACGUGUCCCGCGCAGAUCGCGCGGCCGACCGUUGGCCCUGCCGACCGUUGGCUCACCGGACAGUCCGGUGCACACCGGACAGUCCGGUGAAUUAUAGCCGUACAUCGCCGAUGAAUUCCCGAGAGCGACGAGUUCGCCUGUGAACGGCCCACCGGACAGUCCGGUGAAUUAUAGUUGUACACCGCCGUCGAAGUCCCGAGAACAGCCUUUUUCCUCGAGCCAGCCUGGCGCACUGGACACUGUCCGGUGCACCACCGGACAGUCCGGUGCUCCAGACUGAGCAAAGUCUUGGCUGCUCGAGCCAAGGCUUUUCCAAUUGGUCUUUUCCUGUUUCCAGCACUUAGACACAAUACAUUAGUCUCUAAAACAAUGUACUAAGUCUGAGAAACAUACCUUUAUCCUUGAUUUGUACUUUGUCCACCAUUUUACACUUAGGCACUUGUGUUGGACACUAAACCACCAAAAUACUUAGAAAUGGCCCAAGGGCACAUUUCCCUUUCAAUCUCCCCCUUUUUGGUGAUUUAUGCCAACACAACAUAAAGCAAGUAGAACAAGUACAAAAUCACUUCAAAUAAGAACUCAAAUUAUUUUGAUUCAAAUUUGACAUAUAUGGAUCACUCUAUGCCACCACUUGGUUUGUUUUUGCAAAUCAAACUCAAAUUCCUAUCUCUAAGUCAAAACCACUUGUAGAGACAUAAAGAGAGGUUUUCCAAAGAAAUUUGAUCAAGGAUUCCAAAAACUCCCCCCUUUUCCCAUAAUCAACACUUCUCCCCACAAGAGGCCAACUUUUGACAUAAGAGACAAUAAAAGAGUUUUGACAAACCAAAAGCUCUAAUCUACUAUUUUCAAAAUUUCUCAAGUGGUAGCUGAUCCAUCUAUUGCUUUGGCCUUUAUUUUCUCCCCCUUUGGCAUCAAGCACCAAAACGGGAUCAAUCUUGGCCCUUUAACCCCAUUGCCUCACCAAAAUCAUCAAAUGAGAACACAAAGGCAAUAAGAGUAUAAAGAUGAACUUGGAAAAGUUACUCUUUUCAUCGAAGUGCAGUGGAAGUCUUGCAUGUUCCAAGUCCACCUUUUCCCUUUCAAUCCUCCUUUGAGGCUAAAACAACCAAACUCAAGUACACGGUUAGUCUCAAAGGGUCAAGUUGUAGCACAGCUCCCCCUAAAUAUGUGCAUCACUUGCAAAAAGGACUUGUGAGGUCCAGGGAGUGUUUGUACAAUUUGAGCACCACAAUAAGCAACAAAAUGCAGAAUGAACAUGAUCAAAGGCAUAAACACAUGUAUGCUACAAUUCAAUCCAAGUUCCGCGAAUCUAGGACAUUUAGCUCACUACGCAGCCUGCAAAAGGUCUUUUCAUCUAAAGGCUUAGUGAAGAUAUCGGCUAGCUGGUUUUCGGUGCUAACAUGAAACACUUCGAUAUCUCCCUUUUGCUGGUGGUCUCUCAAAAAGUGAUGCCGGAUGUCAAUGUGCUUUGUGCGGCUGUGCUCAACAGGAUUUUCCGCUAUUCGGAUAGCACUCUCAUUAUCACAUAGGAGUGGGACUUUGCUCAGAUUGUAGCCAAAGUCCCGGAGGGUUUGCCUCAUCCAAAGUAGUUGCGCGCAACACUGUCCUGCGGCAACGUACUCGGCCUCAGCGGUGGAUAGGGCAACGGAAGUUUGUUUCUUAGAAUUACAUGACACCAGGGACCUUCCUAAGAAUUGGCACGUCCCCGAUGUACUCUUCCUAUCGACCUUACAUCCAGCAUAGUCGGAAUCUGUGUACCCAAUCAAGUCAAAGUUAGACCCCUUUGGAUACCAGAUCCCGAAACAAGGCGUAGCGACUAAAUAUCGAAGAAUUCGCUUCACAGCCACUAAGUGGCACUCCUUAGGAUCGGAUUGAAAUCUAGCACACAUGCAUACGCUAAGCAUAAUAUCCGGUCUACUAGCACAUAAAUAAAGCAAAGAACCUAUCAUGGACCGGUAUGCUUUUUGAUCAACGGACUUACCUCCUUUGUUGAGGUCGGUGUGUCCGUCAGUUCCCAUCGGCGUCUUUGCGGGCUUGGCAUCCUUCAUCCCAAACCGCUUUAGCAAGUCUUGCGUGUACUUCGUUUGGGAGAUGAAAGUGUCGUCCUUGAGUUGCUUCACUUGGAACCCAAGGAAGUAGUUCAACUCGCCCAUCAUCGACAUCUCGAAUUUCUGCGUCAUCACCCUGCUAAACUCUUCACAAGACUUUUGAUUAGUAGAACCAAAUAUUAUGUCAUCGACAUAAAUUUGGCAUACAAAAAGAUCACCAUCGCAAGUCUUAGUAAAAAGAGUUGGAUCGGCUUUCCUGACCUUGAAAGCAUUAGCAAUUAAAAAGUCUCUAAGGCAUUCAUACCAUGCUCUUGGGGCUUGCUUAAGUCCAUAGAGCGCCUUAGAGAGCUUACACACGUGGUCGGGGUACCGUUCAUCCUCGAAGCCAGGGGGUUGCUCCACGUACACCUCCUCCUUGAUUGGCCCAUUGAGGAAAGCGCUCUUCACAUCCAUUUGGUACAACCUGAAAGAAUGGUGAGCGGCAUAUGCUAGCAAGAUACGAAUUGACUCUAGCCUAGCCACAGGAGCAAAAGUCUCCUCAAAGUCCAAACCUGCGAGUUGGGCAUAACCUUUUGCCACAAGCCGAGCCUUGUUCCUUGUCAGCACCCCGUGCUCGUCCUGUUUGUUGCGGAACACCCACUUGGUUCCCACAACAUUUUGCUUGGGGCGAGGCACCAGUGUCCAAACUCCAUUGCGCUUGAAAUUGUUGAGUUCCUCCUGCAUGGCCAACACCCAGUUCGGAUCUAGCAAGGCCUCUUCUACCCUGAAAGGCUCAAUAGAAGAGACAAAAGAGUAAUGCUCACAAAAAUUAACUAAUCUUGAACGAGUAGUUACUCCCUUGCUAAUAUCACCCAAUAUCUGGUCGACGGGAUGAUCCCUUUGAAUCGUCACUCGAACUUGGGUUAGAGGUGCCAGAGGUGCUUCUUCCUCUUCAAUUUGAACAUCCUGUGCUCCCCCUUGAUCAUGCGCCUCCACUUGAGGUACCUGUUCGUCAUCUUGGGUUGGGGGUUGCACCAUAGUUGAGGAAGACGGUUGAUCUUGCUCCAAUUGUUCCUGAGGCCGUACAUCUCCAAUCGCCAUGGUGCGUAUCGCGGCCGUUGGAACGUCUUCUUCAUCUAUAUCAUCAAGAUCAACAACUUGCUCUCUUGGAGAGCCAUUAGUCUCAUCAAAUACAACGUCGCUAGAGACUUCAACCAAACCCGAUGAUUUGUUGAAGACCCUAUACGCCUUUGUAUUUGAAUCAUAACCUAAUAAAAACCCUUCUACAGCCUUGGGAGCAAAUUUGGAAUUCCUACCCUUCUUCACUAGAAUGUAGCAUUUACUCCCAAAUACACGAAAGUACGAUACAUUGGGUUUGUUACCAGUUAGCAGCUCAUAUGAAGUCUUCUUGAGGAGGCGGUGAAGGUAGACCCUGUUGAUGGCGUGGCAAGCCGUGUUCACGGCUUCCGACCAAAAGCACUCGGGGGUCUUGAACUCUCCAAGCAUAGUCCUCGCCAUAUCUAUGAGCGUCCUGUUCUUCCUCUCUACCACACCAUUUUGCUGAGGUGUGUAGGGAGCGGAGAACUCGUGCUUGAUCCCCUCCUCCUCAAGGUACUCCUUCACUUGAAGGUUCUUGAACUCGAACCCAUUGUCGCUCCUUAUCUUUUUCACCUUGAGCUCAAACUCGUUUUGAGCUCUCCUUAGGAAGCGCUUGAGGGUCCCUUGGGUUUCAGACUUAUCCUGCAAAAAGAAUACCCAAGUGAAGCGGGAAAAGUCAUCCACAAUAACUAAACCAUACUUACUUCCUCCUAUGCUUAGAUAGGCGACGGGUCCGAAGAGGUCCAUAUGUAGCAGCUCCAGGGGUCUUGAUGUGGUCAUCACAUUCUUGCUGUGAUGCGCUCCUCCUACUUGUUUACCUGCUUGACACGCUGCACAAGGUCUAUCUUUUUCGAAUUGCACGUUAGUCAAACCUAUCACGUGUUCUCCCUUUAGAAGCUUGUGAAGGUUCUUCAUCCCUACAUGUGCUAAGCGGCGAUGCCACAGCCAGCCCAUGCUAGUCUUAGCUAUUAAGCAUGCAUCUAGACCGGCCUCCUCUUUUGCAAAAUCUACUAAAUAAAGUUUGUCGUCUAAUACACUCUUAAAAGCUAAUGAACCAUCACUUCUUCUAAAGACAGACACAUCUACAUUUGUAAAUAAACAGUUAUAUCCCAUAUUACAUAAUUGACUAACAGAUAGUAAAUUAUAUCCAAGACUCUCCACUAAAAACACAUUAGAGAUAGAAUGCUCAUUUGAUAUUGCAAUCUUGCCUGAACCUUUCACCUUGCCUUGGUUCCCAUCACUGAAUAUGAUUGAAUCUUGGGAAUCCUUAUUCUUGACGUAGGAGGUGAACAUCUUCUUCUCUCUCGUCAUAUGGUUUGUGCAUCCGCUGUCGAUAAUCCAGCUUGAACCCCCGGAUGCAUAAACCUGCAAGGCAAAUUUAGGCUUGGGUCUUAGGUACCCAACUCUUGUUGAGUCCUACAAGGUUAGUCACAAUUUCCUUAGGGACCCAAAUGCAAGUUUUAUCACCCUUGCAUUUUGACCCUAAUUUCCUAGCAACUAUCUUCCUAUCCUUUCUACAAAUAGCAAAGGAAGCAUUCAAAGUAUGAUAAAUUGUAAAGGGACCAUUCAUAACUUUCCUAGAAGCAUGAACAAAAUUUUUUCUAGGCACAUGAUGAACAUUUUUCCUAGGUAUAUCUCUACCAUGCAUAUAGGAAGAACUAGGAGCAAACAUAGCAUACGAGUCAUGUGAAUCAAAAGCAUUGCAACUCCUAUGAGACUGUCUUCUAUCAUUGUACAUAAAGGCAUGGUUCUUUUUAGUGCUACUUGCCAUAGGGGCCUUCCCUUUCUCCUUGGUGGAGAUGGGAGCCUUAUGGCUUGUUAAGUCCUUGGCUUCCCUCUUGAAGCCAAGUCCAUCCUUAAUUGAGGGGUGUCUACCAAUCGUGUAGGCAUCCCUUGCAAAUUUUAGCUUAUCGAAAUCACUUUUGCUAGUCUUAAGUUGGGCAUUAAGACUAGCUACUUCAUCAUUCAAUCUCGAAAUUGAAACUAGGUGUCCACUACAGUCAUCAAUAUCAAUAUCCUUACACCAAGUGCAAAUCAUAACGUGUUCUACACAAGAAUUAGAUUUAUUUGCUACUUCUAAUUUAGCAUUUAAAUCAUUGUUAACACCUUGUAAAGUAGAAAUGGUUUCAUGACAAGUAGAUAGUUCAUAAGAAAGCAUUUCAUUUCUUUUAACUUCUAAGGCAUAGGAUUUUUGUGCUUCUACAAAUUUAUCAUGUUCAUCAUACAACAAAUCCUCUUGCUUUUCUAAAAGCCUAUCCUUUUCAUUCAAGGCAUCAAUCAAUUCAUUGAUUUUAUCAAUUUUAUUUCUAUCUAGGCCUUUAAAUAGACAUGAAUAAUCUAUUUCAUCCUCAUCACUAGAUUCGUCCUCACUUGAAGAAGCAUAAGUAGAGUCUCGAGUACAUACCUUCUUCUCCCUUGCCAUAAGGCAUGUGUGACGCUCAUUGGGGAAGAGGGAUGACUUGUUGAAGGCGGUGGCGGCGAGUCCUUCAUUGUCGGAGUCGGACGAGGAGCAGUCCGAAUCCCACUCCUUGCCGAGAUGAGCCUCGCCCUUUGCCUUCUUAUAAUUCUUCUUCUUCUCCCUCUUGUUCCCUUGGUCCUGUUCACUAUCAUUGUCGGGACAGUUAGCAAUAAAAUGACCAAGCUUACCGCAUUUGAAGCAUGAGCGCUUCCCCUUGGCUUUGGUCUUGCUUGGCUGUCCCUUGCGACCUUUAAGCGUCGUCUUGAAUCUUUUGAUGAUGAGGGCCAUCUCUUCAUCAUUAAGUCCGGCUGCCUCAAUUUGUGCCACCUUACUAGGUAGCACCUCCUUGCUUCUUGUUGCCUUGAGAGCAAGGGAUUGCGGCUCGUUGAUCGGACCAUUCAAGGCGUCGUCCACGUACCUCGCCUCCUUGAUCAUCAUCCGCCCGCUAACGAAUUUUCCAAGGACUUCUUCGGGCGACAUUUUGGUGUACCUGGGAUUCUCACGAAUAUUAUUUACCAAAUGAGGAUCAAGAACGGUAAAGGACCUUAGCAUCAGUCGGACGACGUCGUGGUCCGUCCAUCGCGUGCUUCCGUAGCUCCUUAUUUUGUUGAUAAGGGUCUUGAGCCGGUUGUAUGUUUGUGUCGGCUCCUCGCCCCUUAUCAUCGCAAACCGUCCAAGCUCGCCCUCCACCAACUCCAUCUUGGUGAGCAAGGUGACGUCGUUCCCCUCAUGAGAAAUCUUGAGGGUGUCCCAGAUCUGCUUGGCGUUAUCCAAGCCGCUCACUUUGUGAUAUUCAUCCCUGCACAAUGAAGCUAGAAGAACAGUAGUAGCUUGUGCAUUCUUAUGAAUUUGCUCAUUAAUGAACAUGGGACUAUCCGAACUAUCAAAGUGCAUUCCACUCUCUACAAUCUCCCAUAUACUAGGAUGGAGAGAGAAUAGGUGACUACGCAUUUUGUGGCUCCAAAAUCCGUAGUCCUCUCCAUCAAAGUGUGGAGGCUUGCCGAGUGGAAUGGAGAGCAAAUGUGAAUUUGAACUUUGCGGAAUACGAGAGUAGUCAAAAGAAAAGUUCGAAUUAACCGGUUUCCUUCUCUCGUAGUCGUUGUGGUCAUCGUCCUUUUGGGAAGAAGUAGACUCAUCGCUGUCGUCGUAGUAGACGAUCUCCUUGAUGUGCCUCGUCUUCUUCUUCUUCCCUUCCUUCUGUCUAUGGCCCGAGCCGGAGUCGGUAGGCUUGUCGUCCUUUGGCUCGUUGAUGAAGGAUUCCUUCUCUUUAUCGUUGAUCACGAUUCCCUUCCCCUUAGGAUCCAUCUCUUCGGGCGGUUAGUCCCUUUGUGAAGAGAACGGCUCCGAUACCAAUUGAGAGCACCUAGAGGGGGGUGAAUAGGUGAUCCUGUAACACUUCAAAACUUAAGCCACAAAACUUGGUUAAUUGUUAGCACAAAAAAUUGCCAAGUGGCUAGAGAGGAAUCCUCAACAAAACACAAUAACCAACAAAGAUCAAUCACAGAGAUGGCACGGUGGUUAUCCCGUGGUUUGGCCAAGACCAACGCUUGCCUACUCCACGUUGUGGCGUCCCAACGGACGAGGGUUGCAAUCAACCCCUCUCAAGUGGUCCAAAGACCCACUUGAAUACCACGAUGUUUUGUUUGCUUUACUCAAUCCCGUUUGCGAGGAAUCUCCACAAAUUGGAGCCUCUCGCCCUUACACUUAAAGUUCACAAAGAAGCACGGAGCAAGGGAGGGAUUAGCAACGCACUCAAGACAAGAAAUCACAGCAACACCACGCACACAAGUCGCAAUGAGAGCUCACAACACAACUCAAUGAGUUCACCACUCAACUAGAGCUCUAAUCGCUAUCGCAAAGAAUCAAAGGCGCGGAGUUGAUGUCUUGGUGCUUAGGAAUGCUUAGGAGAUGCUUGGUGUUCUCCUCCAUGCGCCUAGGGGUCCCUUUUAUAGCCCCAAGGCAGCUAGGAGCCGUUGAGAGCAAUCUAGGAAGGCUGAUCUUGCCUUCUGUCGACUGGCGCACCGGACAGUCCGGUGCACACCGGACAGUGUCCGGUGCCCGAUUUCCUUCCAUAAAUGGCGCAGUCGACCGUUGGCAGCCAGAGAGCCGUUGGCGCACCGGACAUGUCCGGUGCACACCGGACAGUCUGGUGCCCCCUUCUAGCCGUUGGCUCGGCCACGUGUCCCGCGCAGAUCGCGCGGCCGACCGUUGGCCCUGCCGACCGUUGGCUCACCGGACAGUCCGGUGAAUUAUAGUCGUACGUCGCCGAUGAAUUCCCGAGAGCGAUGAGUUCGCCUGUGAACGGCCCACCGGACAGUCCGGUGCACCACCAGACAGUCCGGUGCACCACCAGACAGUCCGGUGAAUUAUAGCCGUACACCGCCGUCGAAGUCCCGAGAACAGCCUUUUUCCUCGAGCCAGCCUGGCGCACCGGACACUGUCCGGUGCACCACUGGACAGUCCGGUGCUCCAGACUGAGCAAAGUCUUGGCUGCUCGAGCCAAGGCUUUUCCAAUUGGUCUUUUCCUGUUUCCAGCACUUAGACACAAUACAUUAGUCUCUAAAACAAUGUACUAAGUCUGAGAAACAUACCUUUAUCCUUGAUUUGUACUUUGUCCACCAUUUUACACUUAGGCACUUGUGUUGGACACUAAACCACCAAAAUACUUAGAAAUGGCCCAAGGGCACAUUUCCCUUUCAGCUCCGCUGGCACACCGGACAGUCCGAUGUGCACGGACACUGUCCGGUGACUCACCGGACAGUCCGGUGAAUUAUAGCGGAGCGCCCUCUAAGAUUCCCGAAGGUAGCGAGUUCAGCUUCAAGUGCCCUGGUGCACCGGACAGUCCGGUGCGCCAGACCAGGGUGCCUUUGGGUUAUCUUUUGCUCUCUUUGUUUGAACCCUUUCUUGGUCUUUUUAUUGGCUUAUUGUGAACCUUUGGUACUUGUAGAACUUAUAGACUAGAGCAAACUAGUUAGUCCAAUUAUUUGUGUUGGGCAAUUCAACCACCAAAAUCAAUUAGGAAAAAGGUGUAAGCCUAAUUCCCUUUCAGCGGUCAGCCGAGGGAUCCCUGCAUUGGAGCUUCCUAGAAACUGUAGCGGGUUUUCUAAAGCUAGUGGAACUUUGUAAAGGCCUCGUAGUGUUACCCUACCUCGCCUCCUUGGUAGAGGUGUAUAGGAUUCAUGACCCCUUGGCAGAUGGGUAACAUGACUUGUGGGUAAAGAUGUGCAACCUCUGCAGAGUGUAAAACUGGUAUAUUAGCCGUGCUCACGGUCAUGAGCGGCUCGGACCCUCACAUGAUUAAUUUAUGGAACUAAAUUCAAAUUGUCAUAUGCAUUGCAUCGCGGGUGUUGUUAUCAAUUUUGAUCUAUUACUUAUUUGGGUUGGUAUCUACUUACACUUAGUAACUGCUAAUAAAAUUUUGACCAACUUUAAAAGCAAUGAUCAGCUUUAACCAUCUUCUUUGGUAAGCCUUACAUUUCACAUGAGCUCCCACCUUUUGUAAGUUCAUGCACACUAUUCCCCACAACUUGUUGAGCGAUGAACGUAUGUGAGCUCACCCUUGCUGUCUCACACCCCCCACAAGUCAAGAAUAGGUACCGCAGGAUGAGGCGCAUGGAGGAUGUUGUGAUGUGAUCAUGAGAGGUCUAGGUUGUCGUCUCCCAGUCAACUUUGGGUUGUUGGAUCGUUGUCUCCAUAUGAUGUAAUUAUUUAUUUAUUUUGUACAUAACUCCUAUUAUAUAGUGAAGAUGUGACAUUCGUUUCUGUACCAUGAGUCAUCAUAUGUGUGAGACUUGGUCCCAGCACACUUGGUUAUUAUUUCGCGUCCGGGUCUUGGUGCCCCUGAAACUUGGGUGUGACAUCAAAAGGAUUUAGAAUUAGCAGGACCAAAACCGAGUAUAUGAUAUGUGAUUUUGGUACUACAAUUAGUGAUGAUGGAGAUGUAAGUUUGGGGGGCUAGGUAGUAAGAAGGACACCUUCCGUUAUUUGGAAUCGAUGCUACAGAGAGAUGGUGAUAUUGAUGAAGAUGUUAGCCAUAGAAUCAAAGCGGGGUGGGUGAAAUGGCGUCAAGCAUCGGGAGUACUAUGCGACAAGAGAGUGCCACAGAAGUUCAAAGGCAAGUUCUACAGGACAGCGAUUAGGCCUACUAUGUUAUAUGGGGCUGAGUGUUGGCCUACUAAAAGAAGACAUAUCCAACAAAUAAGUGUCGCAGAGAUGCGUAUGUUGCGUUGGAUAUGUGGGCACACAAGAUUGGACCGAGUGAGAAACGAUGACAUACAUGAUCAGCUAGGAAUAGCGCUAAUUGAAUAAAAGCUUAUUCAACAUCGGUGGAGAUGGUUUGGGCAUGUCCACCGGAGACCCCAGAGGCACCGAUGCAUAGAGGCAUCAUAAGACGGGACAAUAAUGUGAAGAGAGGUAGAGGUCGACCAAACUUGACAUGGGAGGAGGCAAUCAAAUGGAAUAUCCCAAUGGAGUUGUGUUUGGAUAGAAGUGCUUGGAAAGAAGCUAUCCACGUGCCUGAACCGUGAUUAGGCUUUUUUUUCCUUUUAGUGCCCUCAAAAGCUUUUCACCUCCCCUUUCUCUCUCUUUCUUCUUUCGGUGACAUCUUGUUGGGUUUUACUCUAGACUACCCCAACUUGCUUGGGACUAAAACGCUAUGUUGAUGUUGAUGAAGGUGGAGUCUGAAUUUUGAAACAUUCACUUACUUGUUCAAUAACCAAACUCUACAACAUUCUGACACCUCUGCCAAUGUGGGACUGAAAGUUGCCUAGAGGACGGGUGAAUAGGAGAAACCUAAAAUUUGUCACAAAUUGUAACAACUAGCACCUGAUUAAGCAUUAGAAUGAGAAUUAGGACAAUCAGAAUGAGGGAGAGAUGUUCUUUUUGCUUAGGGUUGUUCAAUUGAUCGCGGAAUUACUUUGGGAGCAACUCAAAUACUAUAGAAUCUAACACAAGCAAGAGAAUUAAGGGAGAGGGGAGAGCUAGAAAUAAAUCACAAUACAAAAUCAGCACAAAGAACGCGGACGAUUUAUUUCCCGAGGUUCGGUUCUGAAGAACCUACUCCCCGUUGAGGAGUUCACUAAAGACGAGUCUCUUUCAACCCUUUCAUUCUCUCAAACGGUCACUUAGAUCAGCUGGGUGUUUUUUCUCAAUCUCAAAGGACACUAAGUCCCCGCAAAAAUCACCGCACAAUUUGACAUCUCUUGCUAACUUUACUAAGUGUGAGAAUGGGGAUGGAAAUGAGAAUGAAACACAAGAACACAAGUAAUGAAUACAACAAGCUCAAAUGAAACACUUCACAAGGCACUACUAUUUCUCUAGUUCAAUCCUGAUGAAUUUGGCACUUGGGAGGAAUUGCAAGGCUUGAAGUUGUUGCAAGUAUUGAAUAGGAGUUUGGUGAAGCUCUUAUGUAUCUUGAAUACAGGUGGAGGGAUAUUUAUAGCCCCAAUCACCCCAUACGGCCGUUGUGAAAAGGCAGUCAAAAGUGUAUCGGAGCACAACCCCAAUUAUGGGCCGAGCCAACGGCCCACAACUUGUGUGUCAGACCAGCCCCAAAAGCCCAAGAUGUCGUAAUGUGAUAGACCGGCCCACAUACAAGAUACAAUAAUAAUAAUAAUAAUAAUAAUAAUAAUAAUAAUAAUAAUAAUAAUAAUAAUAAUAAUAAUAAUAAUAUACAAACUAAGGUACAAAGCAUAUAUGACAAAAUUAAACUAAGCUAUUUUGCAGCUAAACAGAGGUACUGAACAUAUAUGACCGAAUAAAACUGAGCUAUUUUGUAGCUACCUCGUUAAAAACCUUUGGUCAAAAGGAAAAAAGAGAACAUCCAACUCAAAAAUAAUAUCUAGUUUGAUGUUUAGAGUUUAGUUAAGUAAUACAGCCAUACAUACAAAAUUACAAAAUACAGUGAUAAAAUCCUACAUGACCACAAGCACAAUAUGCAACAGGUUGAGCAUCUUAAUUAUCAUCACCAUCAAAAGUGACGGUUAGAAACUUUGUUAUUUUUUCUCCAUAUUUACUGUCACCUCACCAACAGUCAUAUUUUUUAAAUUUUAUUAAAACAAAGUCUAUAUAGAAACCAUAGCAAUACACAUCCUCCAAGUAGUUUAAAGAUUACGUACGAUGAGGUUGUUUUUAAGGCGAAAAUUGGAGCAAAUGGGCAAACAACAUUAACAAAAAUAUCUGACAUCCACAUAGACGAGUGAUAAACAUUGCACCGAGAUUUUAAAAAAUAAAAGGAUCCGCAACUUCCGUUCAAAAUUUAAACCAUAUCAUCUCGCAUAUCUUGUGUAAGUAUCAGGAUUCCCCAAACCCACGAGAAAAUUUCUUGCUGAAACAAAUUCUAAGGGACUUAAACAUUGUGGAAGAUGCCUAUAUCGCCUAGUUCUUGGAGGCCUUAUCCUUGGUUUUUUGGAUCUUCAAAACCUUCUUCACGAUCUUCUGCUCCUCGACCAAAAAGGCACGGAUGAUCCUGAGACAUGCAGGUGACUUAGUAUCACCAUUAAUCAUUUCAAUGGACGGGCAUGAGUUGCGAAAGAAUGGUCACCUCUCUCUCACUGCGGUACCAGACAGAACACCACCAUAUGGACGGUUCACAGUCCUGCGGUUCCUUGCCAACCUGGACCUCUUGUACUCAGCAGGUCUCAGGUGUGGAAUCUGCAAUUGAAGCAUAGGAAAUAUUUAUGAGCAGCAGUUAAAUAUUAUGUAAAUGACACAAACUUAUACUGCAGUGCAAACUUAAGACUGCCUAAUCUGAUUAGUCAGUGUAGUGGCUGCACCUACGUGUCUUGUAGGAAUAGCAUGCAGCAUACUGUUGUGCCUAUAAGGUGAAGAAUUCUUUGCAGAUUCAACGGCCGGUGUGCAAAGAGAAUUCAUCCAAAUAAAGUACGUAUUAACAAAUUACGUGUACAGUUGAUGCAGUGAAGUACUCAUACGGAAGCAAUCUCUAUGGACAUGUGUUAAUAAGGAAAGUAAUAGAACUUCUGAAUUAAAUAAAUUAACUUUUAAAAAAUAGAUAAGCAUAACAAAGUCAGUAUGUUCUAAAGAUAAGUGAUACACAAAAAAAUCCUCCAAGAUUACCAUGCAAAAUCAGGUGGUCCAUAGGUUGUCAGUUAGGAGCGAAAGACAAUUCAGUGUAAUCAUAGUCAUUACCAAAGUAAUCAUUUGAACUAUGCAACUGAUCAUCAUCCAACCCUCACCGCCUCAAGAGUUGUACCAGCAAAUAUAGCAUAUAAUAGAAGGUAGCAAAGGAGCAAACAGAUUGAUUGCCUUGAAAUGAAAAAUAAGAAAGCUAAAUAGACAAAACAAGGUGGAGGGAGUAUGCCAGUGCAAAGGGCCUCAUAGAGAAGAUUAGGCUUAAUCGACAUGAAAGUUCAGACAUAUGCUUGUCAUGUUUCUCAGUAAUCAUAGGCCCAGUAGUAUAUGCCAGAAACUGAAUCAUAAUAAAGAUGCAAGCCAGCCAUAACAAGAACUAAACACAAUGAGUACGAAUGCAAGUUAAAAGUAUCUUUUGGGGGAAAACUUCAGACUUCAAAAGUAAGACAAUGAGAAAAGAGACAACAUUGGAAGGCCUCAUAGAAGUUUAAGAUUAAUCAACAUGAAAACUCAGACAUGCUUGUCAAUUGUAACUGUAUAAUCAUUGUUCAACAAACUCAAAACAAAAAGGAAGAUCUAGAGAAAGGGCACUUGGUACAACCUAACACUCAAGAAAAACUUGCAAAACACAAUACAUUGUGCUGAAAUGUGUACACUGCCCUGGAAUGAAUAAUAGAGUACCAGUACCAAAGAUAGGUUGGCAUGAACAUCAAAACCAGCUACGGCAGCACAUGUUACAAUAACUCAAUAAGCUAAAAGGCCUAAGGGUCAAACAAAAAACAAAACAAACAUCAAACCUAUGGUUUAAAACUACUAUCAGAACAACACUCAGUUAAGACAAAGUAAAUAAACAACGCAACGGCACAAAUGUGAGGGAUACGCUACAGGUACAGUUUGCUAAAAGCCUAGAGCAAUCUUUUAGAUCUAAGGAUAAUAAAUUGUUCCAACUUCCAACCAAGAGCCCGAAACAUGAUUCAACAAGAAAAGGUGCAUUUUAAUCCCCAGUUUGCAAUCACACAUCAUAAGAAUAUGAGCCUUAAGCUACACAAAAUACAAAGCUGCGGUUCAAAUACAUGUUCCGUCAGGACCUCCUAGCCUAGGUUGACCACACUGCAUUCAAAUUGAAAAUCCUUGAAUAGAGCAUGACGCAGCGACCUAAACCCUAAAGCAAGAAUAAGUGGGUAAAAUAGAAAGGUGGAAGGCUCAUACUCCUUGGAUCUUCUUCCCGGUGACCGGGCAUUUCGGUCCGCUCGCGCGCUUCUUGGUGUACUGGUACACAAGCCUCCCACCUAAUCAACAACAUAAACAAAUCAGCGGGAAUCCUAUUUCCACAACCCGCACGAACAGAAACAACGAGCGAUCAAUCGACCAUGCGAGUGCGAAGCGCCGGUCUUACCAGGGGUCUUGACCACGCGGGUCUGAUUGGAUUUUGUGGCGUAGCUGUGGCGCUUCCGGUAGGUGAGCCGCUGCACCAUUUUGCCGCCGGCCGCUGUUUCUCCCGGGCUCUCGCUCUCCGCGCGCUCUUCCUCUCUAGCGUGGCGGCGGAGAAGGGAGUGAGGAGGAGAGAUGGAGGGGAGCUUUUAUAGGAUGGCUGAUAGGCCUAGUGACCUAGAUCUGACGUCGGGAGAUGAUUUGCCAAGCGAAUGGGCGGUUCGGUCUGUGACUUGGGAUUACCGGCUCCUUAGUGUAUGGAUGGUCUGAAUUUGGUUUCAAGAUUUAUCGAACUGAAGUCCAUUCUAGUGAUUAUAAAUUAGAUAUAAAUUAAUUAAGCUAAUAUAAUUAUGUAUAUUAUAUAUGUAUACUCUACUAUUGGUUUAUAGAGAAUAUAUUUUUGUGUUCUAACAAAAACGGCUUCACCGGGUUUAGUAGAGCUCAGGCUCGUUUAAAAUAGCUCUAGUUAUGUUUUUCGUUAAAAUCAUUUUUUGUUAACGGGACGUUUGGAUCCCUUCAUUUUAGAGGAAUUGGAAUUCACUCAAUAAAGUAACUUAUUUAGUUUGGAAUUUGACAUUCCACCACUUUCCAAAGUUCAGAUAUAAGUCUAUCUCAAAUUCAUGGGGUGGAUGGUGGGAAAUGAUUUUAUUUAUUAGUAGAAUUGGUUUCUAAUCUAUAACUUACAUGACACUCUUCGUCUCACUCCUCUAUAGUAAAAAUGUAGCACAUAAAUUUCUCCAACAUCUUGCUAAUAAUAGUAUACAAAUAUAUUUUGCAUAAAACCGAAUUAUCUUAAUUGAUAUAUCUGCCUAAAGUCAUUUCGUAAAUCGUUUGACAAAAACGACUUAUCAUGGAGCCAAAACCAUUUCCAAUAUAUUAAAGUGCUAGAGCAAAAGCCGAUGGAACUAAUAUUUGUGGCUUCUUCUCCAUAGUACAAAAACGGCUCUGACUUUUAGAUAUUUUUCGCAUGAAACCGUUUAAACAAAUGUUUGGUAUGGAUCUAGCUUUUUGCAGAGAAAAACCAUAGUCGAAGCCCUGCCAAACAGACUCUAAGUUGUAUAGUAGAAAUAUAACCGGCUAUAAAAUCAACUUUUACCUCAGUUUAUAAAUUUAAGAAAAUCUUAUACCUAAAUUUUGAAAUGUAAUUGAAUAUUCUAAGCCAACAAAAUAAAAAAAAUCCAAACGGCAUCUAACUUUCUCUAGUAUUCUUCUAUUAAAAUUCAUUUUGUAGUAUUUUUUUAAAUCUGCUUAUAUUUUACUACCUCCCGUUAUAAAAGUUGACUUUUAGAUUAUAGUUCUGUUUCUUUCUCUUUUAUCUUUAUUAUCUUGUAUUAGAUUUUACUUACUCUACUUUUUGUUAUAUCUCUCUCAUUCAUAUAGAGUAUAAUGCUUGUGGGUUACGAUAAUACUAAAUAUUCGAGGGGAGCCACCACAAUACAGCCUAAAAAUGCAUAUGAAUUCUAAAAUCCAAGAACAUGACAGGUUGGGGUAAAGAGGCGGCCAGCCUCUAAAUUUAUAGGACAUAAGAGCGUCUUUAAGAGACUAGCUAAAUAACUCGUCGAGCUAAAUUUUGACUACUAAACAACAAUAUAACUCUCCAACGGACUAAUCAUCAAACUCGUCAAGCUAUCCGACACUCUAAAUUGGCUCCCUUACUAGCUAAAAUUGGCAUGUCACCCUGUCUAGCCAAACUAGAUAGAUAGUAUGUUAGAGUGAGAUGGUACAUAUAGAGUAUAAUAUUUAUGGAAAGAUAAAUAUAGAGUCAAAUAGAAAACAAAAAAUAAAGAGUCAUUUAAAGAUGCUAUAAGCCUAGAUAUAUGUAUAUAGUAGUCAGACUAUUAGUAUAUAGUCUAAUAAUUUGGUAGUAAAGUGUCGAAUAGUUGGGGAACUAUGAUGUAUUCGUAGCUCGAUCUUGUUUAAAUAUGUUAGAGAGAAAUUGAAAAAUAAUACAGUAAUAUGUACCUUUUAUUUACUUUUAUUUACUUGUUGUUUGAUAUAACUAUUUUAAGAUAUAUAUUAAGUGUUUAUAUAGUUAUAUAUAAAGAUAAUUAGAAAGGCCUCUAUUUUAAACCUCGUCCUAGGUCGCUAAAAUCUCAGGACUCGCUGAACAUGAUGUGGUUAAACAAGUCUUGGCAUCAAGAUUCAGAGCUUACAUCUUGGUAUAUUACGAGUAUCCAAUGGACUUCUAAAUUUAAUAUAAGGGUACAAACCACACCGAAGAAUCAAACAUGAACCGUACAAAUAUGUAAAUACGUCAAAAUGUCAGGCACAACUAUGCCUCUCGUAUUACUAUUGUAUCGUCGCGACACCCAUCGACUUCCCCCUCCCACAGCCGAACACCUCGUUCCGACACCCAUGGGACUUCCACGCGCAGUCUCCCCAGUCGCGUCAUGGCCAUUCCAUUGCCAUUUCUCCUCGCUUGUCACCGUCGCAGCGAUGCUCGAUUUGACACAUCUCUGUUCCCAAGCCCAUCUCGCUCCUUUCAGAUAUUUGUAUAUAUAUGUAGCAGCAGUCAAAAGUUUUAAGGUGUAUUUGGUUUCCCUGACUACAAUUUAAUUUGUGUCACAUCAAACGUUUGGAUAUUGGGUAUAAGUAGAGCCUAGAAAACAUUAGCCUAACGGGAAGUAUCAAUCCCAAUCUCCAUCCCCCAUCCCCCACUACACAAGCGGCCAUGCAUCGACGAGAGGUGGCGCGACAAACAAAUAUCGCCUUGGCAUGUUGUUGGCGUAUGUCGCGUGACGUGACCGGUGUGGAAGACUUGUGGAACGAUCAAUACCUAGGGGGUGUUUGGUUUGAAGAAUCAAUCCAUUCUAGAUGAGGUGGUGUAUCAUUAGUUAAUUCCAUAAAUUUAGUGGAAUGAACUCAUUCGUCUUAUUAUUACUAAUUAUUAGUACAUGAGGAAUGAAAUGGUAAUGGACCAUCUCAUUCUAUUUCACAAACCAAAUAAGAAAGUGAGUAGUGAGAAGAUGAUGGAUCAUCUCAUUCCUCAAACCAAACACACUAUCAGUUCAUCUCCCUGCCCACCUGCACGCACAUGUCGCCCCCGUGGCCUCCUUCGCCGCUGGACGGGCCCGUACGAAACGUGCUUCUCAUCGGAGGACAUGAGGGAUGGCUUUUAAGGGCAUGCACAACCCACAUAAUAACUCAUAUCUUAUGUGGUAUCUAAGGGGCACCUGUAAAAAACGUAACAGACGUAUCUUCGCGAAGAAACGUCUCUGGCAUGCUUCUCUAAGUUUAUAUAUGGUUAAACAUAUACAACCAAUAUAAAUGAGUCAUAUCUUGAUGAUUCUGGUGAAUAAGAUACAUGUACUAGAUAUAUUGGGUUGUAUGAACAAAUUUCUAAGAUGUAUCUAGUGUCUAGAGAACCACAACAUAGUAUCUAUGUUGUACAUGCCCAAAAGCAGAGGCAGUGCUAUCUUAUCUAGUCUAUUUUUGUUGUCCUUAUCCAAUUAUAUGCAUGGAAAGUUAUCUGGUUGUUAGGCAAAGUGUGGAGGGUGAGAAAUAGACCUAAGCGUUUCGCGUGGUGUUGGUGUUUCGAACCUUGUCUGACAAGUAAGUUUAUUGUGUGCGUUCUGGUCUUCGGAGGGUAUGAGCGAUGUGCGCAAGAUUUAUAUUGGUUCGGGGAGAACAUCUCUACAUCCAGUCAUCGGCAGCUCGCGCUACAUGCAUCAUUGAUGAUCAAAGCUCGUAGUAAGGGUUACAAGCAAGCGAGAGAGGGAUGAGAGGCUUCCAAGUCUCUUGUUGGUGGUGGAGUUGGUUAUAAAGUGUAGCCCUAGCUAAGUCUUGGUUUUGUCCGACGGGGCUCUGUUGAUCUUUGGGCGUCGUCUUAUCUCGAGGUCCGUCCUUCUGGGCGUGUGUUCGAAGAAGCCACCCUCUCGUGUUCGGCUCGGCUCGUGGUGGCUUCCACAUUGUCGUAAAGAAAACACCAAUCCCUGAGAGGAGGGUGAAGAGGCCUGGUAGCUAGGUGAUAUGGCUCUCAAUCUCUGGGCUAGCUGUCUCUCUCCAAACUUGAAGGUCUAGAAGCCAGUGUUGUCUCAGAGUAAUACGGGCUGUCCUCUGAGCAACGUAGAAGGACUCAUGAGUUAGAGUGCUGAACUAAUAAGGGUCGGCUAUGGUGUCUCUCUGCUUAGGAAACCACUCUCCUAUAGGCACAUGCUUGAAACGACAAACUCUUGCAGCUGUAGCUCCGUGGAGGUCAUAGAGACGAGGGUCUCCCUGAAGUGGCUAAACAUGCUCAAGAACCACAGCCAUGCUCUUGUUGGGCUAUGGUGGAUGAGGUGGAUCCUCGCCAUCUCCACCAACUGACGGUCUGACGGACCCAAGUUCUCUGUUUUUGCCAUCUGAACUGAGUUGAGAUGAGUUCUGUUCUAGAACAACUGACUGCUGAUAGCUUACCACAGGGUCACAACCGGUGUUGCAUUGCAUUAGCCUCGAACACAACAGGGUCACAGAGAUUAGAGAAUGGCUUUGUUUUUUUGUUUCUCCCUCCAACGUCCAACCUGCAGAAUGUCGAUGCAGCCAUGGUACCUGUGUGGCUCUGUUUCUAGCAAACGAGUGCCUAUAACUUUCAAAAUUUUCUAAACAAUGUAAUAAAGAAAAAUUGAACUGAACAAAGAUGCACGCCAACGUUUCUUGAGCCAACAGUUCCCUGGUGCUCCACUUCAAAUUUCCCCCUAACCAUCUUCGCACUGUUUUAACGUACAAAAGAAAGCCAAAUUCUAAAUUAAGCUGUUACAACUGUUCGAACUGCUGCGGCUACAAUCUAUAGAGACAAAAUAUUGUAAAAGUCGUAGCCGAAUAUUGUAAAAGUCGUAGCCGAAUUAAAGCUGCAGCAAGUCACAGCAAUAUUGUACGAACCCCGACGGGCUGCGAGGUAAAAACCCCGACGGCCGACGCCAUUAGCGGUCGAGGCUACUACGAACGAGGCCCCGCAAGACAGGCCCCGCUGUCUUGCGCACUGACGCCCUUGACAGGGCCGUUCGUCCUCCCUUCGAUCUACCCUGAUCUAACAACAAUCACAUACAAUUACGUAACUGGCAAUGCAGCCAGUGCAAGCCCGAGUUUAUUGCCCAACAAACAUAUUUACAAGGUGCCUAAAAUGUGCCUGUAUUUGGGCUCUAGAGCUUUUGAGGUGUUUUCACCCCUAUCUAGUAAGUAAAAUCUGAAAACUAAUCCAAGCACACACCUCUAUCUUCUAUUGUCUCUAUACCAACACACACACGCAAAAUCAUCUGAACUGGCAUUUGAGCAAGUCACUCAGCAGCCAAAUCUGUUUCCCUCCUGAGUCUUCAGACUGGUAGCCAUCAUGAAAGACAGUGGAAGCAGCAACCGGCCACUAUCUUAGAUAGGCAUUCAGCGCAACCAGCUUUGGAUUUACACUUCAUCCGAGUAAUAAGUACCUUGCGCAUCAGCAACGUCCUUGCUCGCACUGGUAGGUGUUUUCCCUUGCAGCUCGGCGCACACAAGCUUGGUCAAGAGGAGCCCGGCAAGGAGAGCCGCCGCCAUCAGCAUGGUGAACACAGCGCUCCAGCUCUUGGACGAGAUGUACCCUGUCAGCAGCGGUCCAAUGGCAGCUCCAAUAGACCCCGUCCCGUCGAUUAUGGCCGUCACGGUGGCCAGCGCCCGGGAGUUGCCGUUCAAGGAGCUGUGGGUGCCGAGGUCGGCCGACACCGCAGUCGUGAUCAGGGCGUACGGCCCGUUCACGAACAUUCCGGUGACGAACAUGAGGCAGACGUUCCACGCCAUCGACGUGCUCCCGUACGCGCGGUACAGGAAGAGGGCGGGUAUCGCGCAGUACAUGAAGCUGGCAGCUGUGAUCGCCCGCGCGUUUAGACGGUCGGAGAUGUGGCCGGCGAGGACUCCUCCCAACACGCCACCGACGUCGAAGAUCGUCGAUAAGCUGCCGGCCAUUGCAUCGGAGAGGUACACGCCACCGAUGCCUGAAACAAGGUGAAGCAGGGCUGUUAGAAAGCACAUUCCUCCAAUUUGUAGAGACAUAUUUGAAGGUCGAAUAUGGAUGGAGACUUACGUGUAUGGCUGAUGUAGAAGGGUAGCCAGUACAGGAAGGUAUAUGCAACCAAUUUAGAGAAGAAGAGGCAAAGAGCGAAUGGCGCAACUCCAGGAAUCCUCCAUGCCUCCAAGAACCCCACUGCCUUAUGCUUAACUUGUUGGCCUGGUUCCAAAAGGGGCUCCUUCACAGUGCCAGUGUCCUUCUCACAGUUCAAUUCACCACUGCCAGCAAUGUCUAUCUCCAUCACCUCAGGGCUAACCGGCAAGGAAACAUACACCACCAACCCAACAAGAGCCAUGACAAGGCUAGGGACGGCGAACGACCAGCCCCACCCGAACUCGAGGAGGAAGGCGGCAAGCAGCGAGCCAGCUAUGUUCCCGAUAGAAGUGUGCGCGUUCCAUACGCCCAUGAUCAGCCCCCUCUUGCUCUUCCCGAACCAGUUACCGACAACCGCGACAACCGACGGCCACCCAACCGACUGAAACAGGCCGGAAACCAUCUGAACGACCAGGAAAUAGUAGAAGCUGUGGACGUUCAGCCAGUAUCCAGCGCCGAAGAGAGCCGUGAACACGGCAGUCCCGACCAUGCCGAUCGUCAGAAAGAUCCUUAGAUCUAUGCGGUCCCCGAUGUGUCCGGCGAAGAACAUCCCGAUGGAAUACGCAGCGAGGAACGCGACGUCUAUCUCGCCGAGCAACGCUGAGCCGUCAGCGGUGUUGAACGGCAGCCAGCCAGUGUUAAGAGCCGGAGCCUCGCUCGUGUGCAGGUGCAGCCGUCCCCAGUGGGAGAACCCCAUCUUCGUCUGGGGGUCCAGCGCGCUCUUGACGAUGCUCGUGAUCUUCCGAGUCAUGUGGAAGCAUGCGUAUGCGAAGAAUGUGAGGACCAGGACUAGCGUCUGGUAGGUUCUCAGCGAACCGGCACCUCCGAAUAGCCUAAGGCCAGGAGGUUUCUUGCUCGCCAUCUGUUGAGACUGAGCCAUGAGGACACAAGUUUCGCUGAGAAAGGUCACCGCCGUGCAGCUAGCGCCGGCUGCAGGGACGCUUCUGGAACCAGCAACGAUUACCUACCACCUGAAAGAAAGCAACCAAGGGAGAUGUGAUCAGGAUAACAAGCCCGGCGCAAGGAGACACAAGAUGAUAUGGUUGCUACUCUUAAUUCGUAAUAACAGUAUGCAACCAACAAUCAUGCUCUAGAAGGUUGGAAAACAGUGAUCUCAAUCUCAAUGCCGCCUCGUGCAGCCGUUUCAUUUACAUUACACCACAAAGAUGCACCGAAAUGAUCCAAAGCAUCUCAGCAUAUUUCGGGAGACAAAUUGAUCUGCUUAUUUAUUAUUAGCCAAAUUCAAUGGUGACAGGUGCAACUGUGCAAGACAUUUGUUGAUCUUGUUCAUUAGCAACCCUGACCCUGGAUCAGAGACAAUACAGCGAUCAAAUUUGCAUGUCCCUAAACGCCCCACGGAUCAAAAUUUCAUCGAAUUCAUGCUCAUAACUCCUAAUAUUAGC